rnacentral:lncRNA from 1 species
GCGGUAUAGACCGCCGAAACAUGCUCCUCGGUCUUGGAGGGCUGUACGGCGCAAGCAGCCUCGUCUCCGACCGCAAAGCUAAUGCGGAUCCUAUUGCACCUCCUGACCUGAGCUCGUGCGACGCCCAAGGUGCGACUACUACUAAGGACGGGCAGGUGGUGAGUCUGGACGUCAACUGCUGCCCACCCUUCACCGAUGUGCAGAAUGACUACAAGCUUCCCAAGUUCAGCAAGCCCCGCGUGAGGCAGUCAGCUCACCGCCUGAGCCCGGCUAACAUAGACAAGUACAACAGAGCCAUGGCGAAGAUGAGGGAGCUGGACGUGACGGACCCCGACGAUCCCCGCGGCUUCACUCAGCAAGCCAACGUCCAUUGCGCUUACUGCAACGGCCCCUACGACCAGGUCGGCUUCCCCGGCGUGGAUCUGCAGGUUCACAACUCCUGGAUCUUCUUCCCCUUCCACAGGUGGUACCUCUAUUUCUACGAGAGGAUCUUGGGCGAACUGAUCGGCGACCCCACCUUCGCCCUGCCCUACUGGAACUGGGACAACCCAAGGGGCAUGAGCAUGCCGCCGGCCUUCGACAACACCGCCUCCGCGCUCUACGACCAGAACCGCAACCAACUGCACCGCCGCCCCGCCGUGGUGGAUCUGGCCCUGAACAGCGGCAUCACCGACCCCGUGCAGAUGAUCUCCAACAAUCUGACUCUCAUGUACAAGGAGAUGAUUGGGGACGUGGAGUCCGCCAUCGACUUCAUGGGGACGGAAUACAGGGCUGGAGACGCGCCGCACGCCUUCCCCCUGGGAGGCACUUCCGAGAGAGGGUCCCACACCGGCAUCCACGUGUGGGUCGGAGACCCCGACAACGAGUUCAACGAAGACAUGGGCAACUUCUACUCCGCCGGCAGGGACCCUAUGUUCUACUGCCAUCACGCUAACGUCGACAGAAUGUGGACCAUCUGGGAUGGCAUCCCCGCCGACUACUCCAAGAAGAUCGACGACGCCGAUUUGAAGAACGCCGCCUUCAUGUUCUACGACGAGAAGAAGAACCUGGUGCGCGUCAGGGCCGGUGACUGCUUCGACCACAAGAAAAUGGGAUACGUGUACCAACACAGCGAUACUCCAUGGAUGAACUACAGGGCGCCUCAGAAGACCGUCCCGGUCAAUCUCAAGGACAUCUCCAAGGGAGUCAAGACUGUAGACAAAGUCUUCCCUCUCAAACCCACCAAGACUGCCAAGGUUUUGGUGUCCAAACCAACCAAAGGCAAAGCCGACGAAGUGCUGGUGCUGGAGAACAUUGUGACCGACAACACCAAGCUCGUCAAGUUCGAUGUGUUCAUCAAUGAUGAAGACGACAAGCCGGAGGAGCUGGACAGGGCGGAGUACGUUGGGGCCUUCACGCAGCUGCCCCACAGGGUUAAGGCCAAGGAAAGCGUCGCCAACUUCGCUUGAACUUGAAGGAGUCUACGAGAACAUUAACAUCGCCGAUGAUGAUGCCGUCGUGGUCACCAUCGUUCCCCAAAUCAACGGCAACGCCGUCANNNNNNNNNNNNNNNNNNNNNNNNNNNNNNNNNNNNNNNNNNNNNNNNNNNNNNNNNNNNNNNNNNNNNNNNNNNNNNNNNNNNNNNNNNNNNNNNNNNNNNNNNNNNNNNNNNNNNNNNNNNNNNNNNNNNNNNNNNNNNNNNNNNNNNNNNNNNNNNNNNNNNNNNNNNNNNNNNNNNNNNNNNNNNNNNNNNNNNNNNNNNNNNNNNNNNNNNNNNNNNNNNNNNNNNNNNNNNNNNNNNNNNNNNNNNNNNNNNNNNNNNNNNNNNNNNNNNNNNNNNNNNNNNNAAAAAAAAAGAAAAAGAAAGUAUAACCCAAAAAUACGUAACUAUUGGUCCUAUUUAAAGCAAUAAAAAGUCCAUCAUCUCAUUAUUUCUUUGGUUUACAAUUCUCAAUUAAUCAAUAGAUUUUGCACAACUUUGAACCUUGGGAUUUAGGAAUGCAGCGAAAGUUUGAGGAAAAAAUUAAAAAAAACACAUAAUAACAUCGCACAACACAGCUCCACAACGCUUUCAAAUUCUGGCGAGUAAUUGCUCCAACUGGCCACUGUUCCGACUUUGGACGAUUGACUUCGUUCAUAGCCGAUCACAAAAUUCUCCCUCAUCCUAUCUUUUGAUAUAUUAAAUAUAGUGUAAAGUAUUAACUUUUUAACCCUACAUUAAUAUUUUAUACUCAAAUAUUUUAGUUUAAUGUUAUAUUUUUUGAUAAGUGUUUGAUUGUUAUAAAUUUUUGUGUAUUCUUGAUUGUUAAAGUGCUUUUGGUAUUUUUAGUUUUGUUUUAUAAUUUUUUUCUAUAUUAGUUAUUAAUUGUUGACUUAAUUAAAGUAAACUUUUGCCAUUAGACAGUGGCCAUCUUUUCUGGGACCCGCUUUAAUCGAAUUGUUGCCAUCUUUAAUUUGUUUUAGGGAGUAAAUACAGAAGGAAGGCGUGGUGCAAUGGCUACAGCUCAGCACGUUUCCUUAUUCCUAAUUUCCACGUGAUUAACUUUUCUAUUUUAUUUGGUUUCUACGUUUUUUUACUCUUUUACACGUCGUUUUUGUUUCCUUUUUCUAUUUUAUUUGGUUUUCUUACGUUUUUUUUUUUAUUUUCUCUCCUUGUUUUCUUUUUUACUGUUUUCCUUUUGCUAUUUUUCUAUACUAUUUUGUAUUUUUUUUCUUUCAAAAUUUUCUUUAUUUUUUUAUUUAUUGUUUUUCUUUUGUGUUUUUUAUAUAUUUUCGUGAAAAAAUGUAAUGCAUUUAAAAUAUUACAUUUCUUCAUAUCAAUAAUUUCUUUUUCUGACGAUAAUAAUUACUUCAGCAAAUAACUAAAAGUAUAAGUCCUUGUGUGUAAAAAUAAUAAUUAUCGUUAAAAAAUAUAUUUUAAAAUCAUUACAUCUGUUUAUGAUAAUUGUAACUUUUAUUUAUUAGAACUUGUAUUUUUAAUAAUUUGGCUAAACAAUUAUUAUAGUAAGAAAAAAUAUUGAUUGGUAUAAAGAAAAAUAAUUAGUAUUAUGAAGAAAUGUAAUGUUUUUGAAACAUUACAUUUCUUCACAAUGAUGUUUAUUUGUAUUCAUAAGAACUUUUACUUUUAGUGUUCAGGGUUUAGAAGUUAAAUACUUAUAUUAACAUAAGUAUGCAUUUGUGCAAACAAAUGUAUACCUUAUGCUAAUAAAAAGUACAUAUUCCUAUUAUGAUUCAUGAUUUAGUGUUCAAGGUUUUAGGGUUUAGUGUGCGGGGUUUAGGGUUUAGUUUUCAAGGUUUAGAAUUUAGAAAAUGUAGUAAUACUUUAUAUUAAAUUAAGGUAAAUACUUAUCUUAACAUAAGUAUACAUGUGUCCUAACAAAUGUAUAUUUUAUACUUAUUAAAAGUAAAUAUUCCUUAGGAUUUAGAAUUUAGUGUUCAAAGGUUUAGUGUUUUUAGGGUUUAGAAAAUAUAAUACUUUAUAUCGAAUGAAGAUAAAUACUUAUAUUAACACAAGUAUAUAUUUUUGCUAUCAAAUGUAACUAUUGUCUUAAUAAAAAGUAAUUAUUCAAAUGAAGAAAUAUAAUAUUUCAAAUUAUUAGUUUUUCACGAAAAUUGUUAUUUUUACUCACAUAAACUUGUAAUUUAAUUAAUUGGUCAAGUAAUUAUAGUUGUAAGAAAAAAUAACCCUUGAUAUGGAUAUAUAAAGGUAAUAUUAAAAAAAAAAUGGAAAAAAUAGAAAAAAAGUAAUUAUUGUCUUAAUAAAAAGUAAUUGGUGAUAUGAAGAAAUGAAGUAAUAUUUUAAAUCAUUACUUUUUUCGCGAUAAUUGUUAUUUUUAUUCACAAAAACUUGUACUUCUAGUUAUUUUGUCACGCGCGCAAUUAUUAUCAUAUAAAAAAAUAAUCAUUGAUAAGAAUAAAGAUAAUGUUUUAAAAAAAGUUGAAUAAUGGAAAAAAGAAAAAAAUUAAAAAAAACGCUGAAAAGAAAAAUAGAAGAAAAUAAAAAAGGCUUUGCUAAAGUAAUUAUUAUUAUAAAAAAAGUAAUCAUUAAUAUGAAAAAAUGUAUAUCUUAUGCUUAUUAAAAGUAAAUAUUCCUAUUAGGGUUCAGGAUUUAGUGUUCAAGGUUUAGGGUUUAGGGUUUAGUUUUCAGGGUUUAGGGUUUAGAAAAUAUAAUACUUUAUACUGAAUAAAGUUAAAUACUUAUAUUAACAUAAGUAUACAUUUGUGCGAACAAAUGUAUAUCUUAUACUUAUUAAAAGUAAAUAAUCCUAUUAGGGUUCAGACUUUAGUGUUCAAGGUUGAGAGUUUAAUUUUCAGGGUUUAUGGUUUAGAGAAUAUAGUACUUUAUAGUGAAUGAAGUCAAAUACUUAUAUUAACAUAAAGUAUACAUUUGUGCUAACAAAAAUAUAUUUUAUACUUAUUAAAAGUAACUAUUGUCUUAAUAAAAAGUAAUGAUUCAUAUGAAGAAAUGUAAUAUUUCGAAAUUAUUCCUUUCUUUCGCGGAAAUUGUUAUUUUUACUCACGAGAACUUGUAAUUUCAAUUAUUUGGUCAAGUAAUUAUAGUCUAAAAAAAUAACCAUUGAUAUAAAUAAAGGUAAAUUUUUUUAUAUAAAAAAAAGCAGAAAUAAAUAGAAAACAUAGAAAAAAAGUAAUUAUUGUCUUAAUAAAAAGUAAUAAUUCAUAUGAAUAAGUGUAAUAUUGCAAAAAUUAUUAUUUUUUCACGACAAUUGUCAUUUUUACUCACGGAAACUUGUAUCUUUAAUUGCAAAUAAAAAAAAAGUAACCAUUGAUAUUUAAAAAUGUAAUGGUACAAAAUAUUAUCACAAAUAAAUAAAUGUAGAAAAAAAAAGAAAAAAAGGGAAAAAAGACAAAAUAAAAUAGAACAAAGAGUAACGAAAAACUUGUAAAACUAAGAAAACUUAGUAAAAGCCUAAAGUCUUUGGUUGCCUUGCGGAAGGAUGAUUCUCCAAGGUGGAACGAAAGAUUAGGGCAAAGGAUUGAUUAUUACAAUGAAUUUUAAGACCUUAUUUAUAGACUUCAUUCCAAUUGCAAAACUGGACUCUUAAAGAUAAGCAUCGUGAAAUCAAAGGAAAGUCCAGCUGGCAGCGUGCUCUGCAAGUAACGGUAGCUCUGGCGAAACAUGAUAGAGCUGGAAGUCAGCUCUGCCAAAGUGUUGAUAGCUCUGGCGAAAAUUUGCUAACUCUGGAACUGUGCUAACUUUGGCGGUCAUGGCAGAGCUGGAAGUCAGCUCUGGAUAGUUCAGCUCUGGUGAGUUUUCCCAUCUCUGUCGAGACAUUGUAGAGCUGGAAGUUAGCUCUGGAUAGUUCAGCUCUGGCGAGUCUUCCCAGCUCUGUCUGCUUUUAGCUUUGCUCUGACAGGUUUGUUAUGCUCUGGAGAAUUCAGCUCUGAUAGUGAAGUUCAGCUCUGGAGAUGGUCAGCUCUGACUAUGGAAGUCAGCUCUGCUCUGAUACAGACUUAUCCGCGCAGCUCUGCUCUGUCGCAGCUUCUCAGUUCUGCUCUGUCGCAGCUUCUCAGUUCUGCUCUGGCAAAGCUUCUCAGCUCUGCUCUGGCGCGGACUUUUAACUCUGAACACCAAUUUGCGCCUAAGUACGUAAUUCUGACCCAAAAUCUCCAACAUAACACUCUUCCAUCUAUACAAUCAGAAUCUCCUGCAAAGUAUAAAACAAACCCAUAAACGCACCAAUUUCCAGGAUAUUUAACUCAAAAUAAGCACAUGCAAACCCCCAAAUUAAGAACAAUUAAGCAUAAAUCAACCACCCACACUUGGCCUUUUGCUUGUCCUCAAGCAAAAUCAGUAUGAAUCCUAGGAAGAGAGCGUUUCAACGAUGCUUAUUUCCAUCCAAACAUUCAACAAGUCAAUUCAAAAGUUUUCAAUCAACACACAUCUCUCGAUCAUGCAAGUAACUUAAAGUUUACGAAGCAACAAAACAGUAAUGCAAGUAAUUCGAUCAGACCCGAUUCUCCGCUAGAAGUGAAUUCCCUAAUGUGAUGGCCUUUAUAAUCAAUAUCUCCAAUUUUCAUACUUUAUGUGCUUAAACACUUAAAUUUCCUACAGUUGAGCCAUAAUUCAUGAAAUAGAACUAUUUGGAUGUAAUCCAAAGUCUUUUCACGUGGUUUCCCAUGCUCAUAGUUAAACUAGAGGAGCAGAGACUCAGAGCUGUCAUUUUCAGCGCUGGCCAGUUCAGAGCUGGGCUUUCAGGUCUGGCAAUUCGUCCAACAUUUUAAACAUUUCACAGAUAAGGAUACGGUAAUAGGCAAUCACAAUGACAACACUCCCUCUAGCAUCUUCCGGACAAAUCACGUUUUACUUACUUACAAUCGUGUUGCAACAAAACUCAUAAUUCUUUGCACAAACAAGAAACAUAUAUCAAGAGCAAAAUAAGAAUAACCACCAUUCAAUCACUAACCCAAAAAUCACAUCGAAAACCAUCUCCUCUUCCACAAAUUCAUAACAAAAUCGCAAGUAUCCAAGAAUAAGCUAAGAAUAGAGGGACCAAUCGCCCAAUCGAAAGCAUAAGCAAAACAAGACAUCCCCCCACACCUAAAGAAUGCCAUGUCCUCAGGGCAAAAGAUAUAAAGAGUUAGAAAAACUUCCCUGAAUACCGGCAAUGAAAGCAUAAACACUGUGAGAGGCGGCGAAAAGUAGGGUUUGCGACAGAGUGGAAAUGUCAGCGCUGGUCCUUUUCAGAGUGGAAUCUCAGGUCUAGUUCUGGACUUUUCAGCGCUGGCAUUCUUCAGCGCUAGCGGCAAAGUCAGAGUAGAAUUGCAGCUCUGGAAACAAAAACAUUAACUCCCAGAAUCAAAGCAACCGAACAAGCAACCAAAAAUAAAGAAAACACUAAAAACGGAAACAAAAAGCAAAGAAAACACAAAACAAAAAUAACAAACCAACUGUGGGUUGCCUCCCACAAAGCGCUAGUUUUAAAGUCGCCAGCCUGACUUAGAGGAACCCUUAACCAAAGUCACUGUGAAGCGUUAGCUGCAUUAGUCCCUUUGAAAGAACGUCCUCCUCAAUUGCAGUUGCGGGUCCUCUUGAUGAGAAAACAACGCUCAUCACAUUUAACAUCCUCUCGACCCAAGAGCCAGAUCGAGAUCUCCCUUUUUUCUUCUUCUCCAAGGGCAGUACACCCUGCACUCUUUGCACGACACCAUCACUGCAUUGUAGGAUUUUAGUCCAUCAUUCUUCAACUGCGGUGUCAUCUUUUAAGCUAGACGGUAAUUCAUGAACUGCAUUGACGUCGAGUGGCAGCUUGUCCAAAAAUUCAUCUUCAAUGGCCACCUCAUCUAGCAUGUUGUCAAGGAACUCCUGUAUUAUUUCGUUCUCUUCCGGGCAUGUGCUCAUCAGUUUCUCCUCAGCAGAAUUCUGGCACGUUCUUGCCAACGCUGGUUGCCUGGUCAGAGCUGGCGGACUGUUCAGAGCUGGCGAAAGAUUUUUUGCUUUAGCGUCCAUCGUCAGAGCUAGAGUGGUGGACAGAGCUGGCAGAAUCGUCAGAGCUGGCGAAAUGGUCAGAGCUUGAGUACUGGGCAGAGCUGGCAAAAGACUGUUAGCGCUGAAAAUUUUCACUUCUUCCACAUGGUCAGAAAUCUCAACAAAAGAACAUAUAUGCAUUAAAGAAGUAGAAAUAACAGGCUUCUUAUCGAAAACUGAGAACGUUACCGAUCUACCUGACCCGGCCAUACUCAAAGUUCCAGAACCCACAUCAAUGAGCGUCUGGGUAAUAGCCAUAAAAGGCCGGCCAAGCAUAACAAGCUGGCCGUUCUCUCCUGUAAUACCUUGCCCUGCCUCGAGCACCACAAAAUCUGCCAGCACCUUGAUUCCUCUCACCGUGAUUAGUCACCUCAACAUUGCAGGUACCGUAGUGUAUGAGCAGUCGGCUAUUGAGCGCCACAUUGUGGAGCACUUUACUAAUCUUUUCUCGCAGGGGGCUCCACUAACGUGGAUUUGGUUGAUCUUGAAGCCAAUAUUGAUUUGCAGGUCAAUGAAGCCCAUAAUAGGGGCUUGAUUGAGAUCCCUUCUGAUGAGGAAAUCUCGGCGGCAGUCCACAGCAUGGAGGCUAACAGUGCUCCGGGUCCAAAUGGGUUCUCGGGGGUGUUCUUCCAUCGUUGUUGGGAAAUCAUUAAGGAAGAUAUUAUUAGAGAUGUGCGUUGUUUCUUCCUGAACUCUUAUCUCCCUAAUGGAUGCAAUGCUAAUACUCUUGUGUUGAUUCCUAAAGUGGAGGCGGUGUCCUUAGUUUCGGAUCUCAGGCCGAUCAUCCUUUCGAAUUUCUUCUUUAAGAUCAUCUCUGAAGUUAUGGCGGUCAGGCUCAAUAGAGUUGCUUCUGAUAUUGUCUCCCAGAAUCAAUUUGGCUUUAUCAGCGGUCGGUCUAUCCACGAUUGCUUCCUUUUUCAUUUUAUUUGGUUUUCACGUUUUUUUUAUUUAUUUUCUCUCCUGUUUUCUUUUUUACUGUUUUCCUUUUGCAUUUUUCUAUACAUUUUGAUUUUUUUUCUUUUCAAUAUUUUUUUUAUUGUUUUUCUUUUGCGUUUUUUUUAUAUAUUUUCGUGAAAAAAUGUAAUGCAUUUAAAAUAUUACAUUUCUUCAUAUCAAUAAUUACUUUUUCUGACGAUAAUAAUUACUUCAGCAAAUAACUAAAAGUAUAAGUCCUUGUGAGUAAAAAUAAUAAUUAUCGUUAAAAAAUAUAUUUUAAAAUUAUUACAUUUGUUUAUGAUAAUUGUAACUUUUAUUUAUUAGAACUUGUAUUUUUAAUAAUUUGGCUAAAUAAUUAUUAUAGUAAGAAAAAAUAUUGAUUGGUAUAAAGAAAAAUAAUUAGUAUUAUGAAGAAAUGUAAUGUUUUUGAAACAUUACAUUUCUUCACAAUGAUGUUUAUUUGUAUUCGUAAGAACUUUUACUUUUAGUGUUCAGGGUUUAGAAGUUAAAUACUUAUAUUAACAUAAGUAUGCAUUUGUGCAAACAAAUGUAUACCUUAUGCUAAUAAAAAGUACAUAUUCCUAUUAUGAUUCAUGAUUUAGUGUUCAGGGUUUUAAGAUUUAGUGUUCGGGGUUUAGGGUUUAGUUUUCAAGGUUUAGAAUUUAGAAAAUGUAGUAAUACUUGAUAUUGAAUAAAGGUAAAUACUUAUCUUAACAUAAGUAUAUAUGUGUCCUAACAAAUGUAUAUUUUAUACUUAUUAAAAGUAAAUAUUCCUAUUAGGAUUUAGAAUUUAGUGUUCAAGGUUUAGUGUUUUUAGGGUUUAGAAAAUAUAAUACUUUAUAUCGAAUGAAGGUAAAUACUUAUAUUAACACAAGUAUAUAUUUUUGCUAUCAAAUGUAACUAUUGUCUUAAUAAAAAGUAAUUAUUUAAAUGAAGAAAUAUAAUAUUUCAAAUUAUUACUUUUUUCACGAAAAUUGUUAUUUUUACUCACAUAAACUUGUAAUUUAAUUAUUUGGUCAAGUAAUUAUAGUUGUAAGAAAAAAUAACCCUUGAUAUGGAUAUAUAAAGGUAAUAUUAAAAAAAAAGCAAAAAUAAAUGAAAAAAAUAGAAAAAAGUAAUUAUUGUCUUUAUAAAAAGUAAUUGUUGAUAUGAAGAAAUGUAGUAGUAUUUUAAAUGUAUGUCUUAUGCUUACACAAAAGUAAUUUGCUAAAGUAAUUAUUAUUAUAAAAAAAGUAAUCAUUAAUAUGAAAAAAUGUAUGUCUUAUGCUUAUUAAAUGUAAAUAUUCCUAUUAGGUUUCAGGAUUUAGUGUUCAAUGUUUAGGGUUUAGUGUUAAGGGUUUAGGGUUUAGUGUUCAAGGUUUAGGGUUUAGAAAAUAUAAUACUUUAUAUUGAAUAAAGUUAAAUACUUAUAUUAACAUAAGUAUACAUUUGUGCAAACAAAUAUAUAUCUUAUGCUAAUUAAUAGUAAAUAAUCCUAUUAGGGUUCAGACUUUAGUGUUCAGGGUUGAGAGUUUAGUUUUCAGGGUUUAUGAUUUAGAGAAUAUAAUACUUUAUAAUGAAUGAAGUCAAAUACUUAUGUUAACAUAAGUAUACAUUUGUGCUAACAAAAGUAUAUUUUAUACUUAUUAAAAGUAACUAUUGUCUUAAUAAUAUGCGAUUUUAUUAAAAAGAAGAAAAGAAGAAAAAGAAACCAAAAAACCCUUGAAAGCACACAAAAGCAGACUAAGGGCCGAGCCUCAUUAAAACCUUUUCAUGGAAAACCCAAAGGGAAAAACCAGAAAAGGAAAAAGAGUGCUCGUCUAAGACGAAAAACCACGACCAGAAGAGCGGAAAGGAAAGUUUCUGGAACUCCGGCCUAACCAUCGUCCCAAAACAAUCCUGGCUCAAGCCAGUCAAAACCAAAAUAAGAAAACAUAAACCUAAAAAGACAAAGGUCGGUAAGACGCCGUCGCCAAAGUCUAACAAAAGGAAAAGAAAGCAAACCUCAGCGGUUAUACGCGUGUGAGAACCAAACUGACAACAAAAGAGCGAGACAUAGGCCGGUAAGACGCCGUCGCCCAUGUCCCAAAGUAAACCAGGUAAGAAGAAAUUUUUGGCCUCUUAUACGCCGUCGCCAAAGAUCCCUCACUCACCCUAAACAAAAUAGAGGUAGAACGCCGAAAGUUCGUCACCCACUUGUCCCUGUACACCUUCGCUCUCCCAAAGGCAAUGUCGAGACAAAGGCCGGUUCCCAAAGACAAAGACGCCGUCGCCCAAGUCUCCAAAGCAACCAGGCAAGAAGAGAUUUUUGGCCGGUUAUACGCCGUCGCCAAAGAUCCCUCACUCGCCCUAUACAAAACAGAAGUAAAACACCGAGAGUUCAUCACCCCAUCUUCCUUGUAAACCGUCGCUCUCCCAAAGGUAAAGUCGAGAAAGCCGCACCAGAGCACCAACCAGCCGAAGCUCAUCAACACACCGUCCGAGCCCCGGCCAUGCAAAAGCACCAAAACCAAAACAGCCCCACAACAUCAAUUCUUGAUACGAACACGACUGUGGGUCGCCAUAUCCAAAGACACCGCAACCUUAAUUUCAUCAAUAGCAAAAGGCCAACACCCCUCGAUCCGUGCAUGAUUAGCCAUAAUAUCAGCUGCACUGUUUCCUUCCCUAUAAAUAUGUGAAAUCUGUAAGCGAGAAUUAGAAAGCCGACUUAAAGUCUGUUUCCAAAGAGGUAAAAAAUGCUAGGGAACAUCCAGCGAACGUGAGCGCAAAAGCUGAACUACAUAAGACGAAUCCGCUUCAAUCCAAAGCCAAUGCCAUCCUCGAAAAUUUGCAAUUCGAACGGCAUGCAUGACUGCCAAGAGCUCCGCUUCAUAAGCAAACCCUGUACCACCUUUAUAGUGGUAGCAAUGUAACACCCAGCAUUUUCAUUACAAUAUAUAUUAUUAAUAUUAUUUUCUAUUUUCUAUUAUUUUAAAGAAGAAAGAGAAUUCUCAAUUUUUAUGCAAAAAACCCAAUAACUAUAUAUUUGGGCCAAGAGUUUUGGUUAUAUAGAAAGGGGCCCAAACUUAAUGAGUUUUGAUUUAUAUUCGUAGCCCAAUUACUUGUCAUAUUCAAUAGCAGCCCAACAAGUGUUUUUCGUUUUGGACCAAGAGUAUUAAGGAAAGGAUGAGAAAGCCGCAGCUGCUCUUCAAGACAGAUUAGCUAGUAGAGGAACACGUAGCUCUUCACUUUUGACGCAGCUGCUCAUAUAGACCGCCUCCAAUACGCUAUAUGUUUAUCCUUUCUAACGUUCAAUCGUUUUUCCUUCUUUCUGAACACAAUAGCAAUCAUCCAUUCAAACACAUAUCUUCCACAGUCAUUUAUCCCCAACAGUCUUUCGCGGAAUUCACUAAAGCAGGUAGUAUUUCUUUUAUUCAGUUCCAUAAUUUGUUAUGUAAAGAGCAGUAACUAAGAUUUGUAGAGAUGAAUAAUAGCUACACCAAGUAGAUAGAAACGCAAUUUAUAACAGCACUCAAAAUCUGUAACAACCCGCUCUUUUAUUAUAUUUAAAUCCAGUAAUACGAUAAUUAUUAUUUCAUCUUUCAGUAAAUCAAGCUCAGUAAUUAUUUAUGAUUUAAAUUCAGCUUAUGACACUGAAUUAUUUUCUAAUUGAAGCAUGGUUAUUAUUUUAUUCAAGCAGUUAGUUCGCGAUAAAACCCGAUGAAAUUAUUGAGUAAGCCAAUAAUUAUUAUUCAGAUUCAUAACUGACUUAGUAAGUCAUGUUAUUAUUAAUCAAAUAGAAUUAUUUUCUAUUUUUAUUAUUAUUUUGAGUCGUAAUUUAUUCCGGCUUGUGAAGAAUUAAAUCUACGUAUUAUUUAGAUAUUUUUUUCGUGUAUUAAAUUAGCACGCAUGCUCCCUCAGCCACUCUAUUCUCACCCGUGCCUUAGUUUUUAUUACUCCUACGUAGUCAAAAAAUUGCAGCAAGCAAAAUCUACAAAUAUUCAACAGACAAAUCUAAAUUGUCAGCAGCAAAUCUAAUCCAUUAAAUUCUUCAACCACGCUCACAAUUUAGCCGUACUAUUCAUCAUCUUUCACACUAAUCAGCUCUCCUAAGUUCAGUAUAAACAUCCUCAUUCACCUCUUCAUCACACAACAAAUCUACUCCUUCCAUCGAGAAAUCACCAAGCAUAAUCUCCUCAUUCCCAUUCCACAAACGUUCCUAGCAAAAAGAGGAAAGACUGCACUGCUCUUCACAUUUCUGCCAAAGCAUUUUCAAGUAUCAGUUCAUUCAAACAAUAACCAACCAACAAAACCAUUCAAGGUAUUUUCAGUUCAUAUCUUCAUAUAUGCAUUUCACUUCCCUCACUUCAUAUAAAAGAAAUUCGAAACAUAGGAUGAGAAAUAUUACAGAAAGAUAUAGCGAACCACAUAUGCAUACUUGAUCGAUAACUUUUCUCAACAAGUCGAGGAUCAUACAUUGUUAUACUCUACACCUUAGAACAGCGAAUCAUGAGAACCCCCACGCUUAACAACUAGAAACUGAAGUAGAAGAAGAAUGAAAGUAGAUAACUUAGCUUGUUAGAAGAGUAAUGGCUGACCGCCCUGUUCAGUCGAGUCCAAGGAAACAACUGACUGCUCUGCUAGACUCGGCUUCGAGUCAGCGGCGGCGAGCAAGCGAGAUCAAUCGACGAUAUACAUAGGCAGCAGAGCCCGCUGCUCGUCGGAAUUAAACAGCAGCGGCGACCUUCGGCUCCGCCGAAGGAAGCCUCGGACUCGAGUUGAGGAAGGAGAAGGCAGAGGCCGUGGCGACAAGCGAUCGAGACCCCGGCUGUUCGUCGACCUCCCUACUACAGCGGUGGCAACGACGAGUGGGCGGCGACUCGCGGGUGAAGCAGCAGGUGUUCGCCGGCCUCCCUACAGCAGCGGCGCCAACUUCGGAGGAAGGCAGCCCCGGCGAGCUGGCCUCUGUCGGCAGCAGCUGUUCUGCCGUCUCUCGCCAACUCCAGAGCAGCAGCAACGGCAGCAAUUCCAGGAGAGGCAGCGGCUGCCGAGGCUCCAGCUGGCGACGGUGGCGGCAACUCCAGACGGCGGCGGUUUCAGGCGAGAAGCUCGCCUUGGUGCUCCACGAACAGCAGCAGUCGGCGGAGCUCUGCAACAGGAGAAGCAGCAGCCGCGACUCCGGGCGAGCAGCAGCAGUUCCAGGCGGCUGAGCGGGAUGGCGCGGCCGAAGGCCUAGCGCCGCUGGUCGCGACCCAGACCAGAAAACAGCAGCAGGCGGCAGCGAACUCGCCGGAAUCCAGUUGCAGUCGGCGGCGGACUCCAGCGGCUCACUCCAGCGGCUCCCGUCGACUCAAGCGGCGGCGGCGAUGUUAGACUUCGCCGGAGUCAGAGAUGGAAGGGGGGAGAAAAAUCGAACGAGAGAGAGAAGAGUGAGCAGCAUGAGUUUUCUUGUGAGAAGAGAGAGAGAGAUUAUUGAAAGUGUGUGUGUGUUUGGAUGGAUCGGUGAGAGAGAGAGAGAUAUACUUAAAUGUGUGUGUGCGUGUGUUUUGUUAAAAAGUGUGUGUGCAUGUGUUUUGUUUUGAGAAGAGAGAGAGAGAUUAAAAAAAAGUGUGUGUGCGUGUGUUUUGUUGUGAGAAGAGAGAGAGAUAAAAAAAUGUGUGUGCAUGUGAUUUGCUUUAUAAAAAGGAUAAAGGAACCAUGAUAGUGGAGAUAAAAGGGAGAGAAAGAGAAGAAUUGUCGGUAAAGAGAGAGAUGGAGAGGCGUGAGAGAUGAUAGAGAGAGAACCGAGAGUGAGGAUUUUGGGCCGGGUUUGGGCCGAAAUUUUGGGCCGGGUUUGGACCGAAUUUUUGGGCUUUCUCAAUUGGGCCUAGUUCAUUUAAUUGAUGUUGGGCUUAAUGUUAUUUAUGCAUUGGGCUUUGAAUUUAUUCAUUUGGGCUCAAAUUAAAUUCCUAUUGGGCCUUGAUUAUUUAUUUAGGCCUUCAUAAUUAUUCUAUUAAGUUUAAUUAGAGAAAAAUUUAAGACUUACUAAUUAUUAAUUAGUAAGUGAAUUAGAUUAUUUUAAGAUGAGUAGAUUAUUAAAGAUUAAUAAUCCGACCUCAUAAGACGAGCUUUAAUUCCUUAAAUAGGAUUAGCAUCUCAUAAUUUAAUUAAAGGAAUAUGAGUCAUGCAUAAUCAUUUCACGCAUCCUCAUUUAUUGAGAUUUUUCGAGAAUUAGAAUCUUAUUUUAUUUUCUCGGAUUAAAGGUCAAGCACCAGAGUUAGAGCUAAACCGUGAGUCUGCUAUUCAGGUGGGCUUUCUAUGUAUAAACUAAAAUUAUAUAUUAGAAUUGUUAAGACUUUAUGCUUAUGAAUUUAAAUGAUAUUGUCAAUGCCUAAAUGCUUUAUGUUUUAUUAUUAAUUGCCUAUCUGAUGUUAAUCGAAUUCGGAUUCUGGAUGGGACCGCAAAUCCCUUCGGAAUUAGUGUACACCUUGUGAUCGUGAGUCAUCUAGCGGGUUGGCCGAUCAUAGUGUCCGUAGAGGGAGGCCUCCCUCUCGGCACGAGUUACUGAUAUGGUGAUUAAUGAUAUAAAAAUACCUGCGCGGGUUAUUGAUGAAAGAAAUGAUAUUAUGUUUGGUAAAUACGAGUCUUUAAAGGAAAACCCUCGUAUCUUACUACUGUUGAAAGGCUUGACAAUAAAAUAUUAUGCAUGUAUGUAAAUUUCGGCAAGUGUCCACUAAGUACUUUUGUACUUAGCCAUGCAUGUAUUUUUAAAUGUGCAGGUUGAGCUGUGAUCGAGGAUGUAGUGUGCAAGCGGAGCUUUUGUCAAUUUAGGACGAGAACCUCAGAGUGGAGUAUAUGUCUUCAUACAUAUACUCAAGUUAUUGUUAUUCCGCUGCGAACACUGAUUAUGUUAAGAUAUUAUGUCAUUUGUCAAACAAUAUGUAUUAUUUAAUAAUGUACUAAAACCAUUGAGUACCCCGUUUGGGAUAAUAUUAUGUACGGUCCCCUUGUGGCCUUCGUUGAUAUCUAGAUAUUUCGAUUGAUUUCUUUAUACAAGUCGAGUCAUCAAGAAAACGAAUAUGCCCUUUCUAAAUCCCGCUCCUAAAUUCCCUCCCUUAGUCGCGGUUUUCCCGAAUUUGCUAUCCUUAGCAAGUGCGGUCGUGACACACCUACUUCAUCUUAGUAAAGUGGUUAACUACCUUUUUAGCCAUGCAAGGCCUCAUCUGGUCCAUUCCAAAUGUUGCUUGAUAACUAUUGUUAUAAGCAAUUUCUACAAAAGGUAAUAAAUCCUUCCAACUUCCACCUUUGUCAGCGACAAUCGUUCGCGACAUAACUUCUAGAAUCUGAAUCGUUCUUUCUGACUGUCCGUUAGUCUGAGGGUGGCACGCUGUGCUGAAGUUCAGCUGAGUGCUCAUUGCUUUUUGCAAACUUUUCCAGAGACGCGAUGUGAAUCUGGUGUGAGGAUCUGUCGUGAUAGAUACAGGUACACCGUGAAGGCGUAUUAUCUCCUUGACAUAUAACUUUGCAAGUUUCUCCAAUCCAAUUUCAUUUGAAUUGGCAGAAAGUGCGCUGACUUUGAUAAUCGGUCUACUAUGACGCUAUAUCUCCUUUCAUUCCUUUCCACCAGAAAAUUUUCUUUAAUUCCUGGUGCAUUUUGUACUGCGUGGAUGUGCAGUGUAUGGAGUAUCAUGAGCCUCGUUCAUAAUCUCGUUCUUCAAUUAUUCUUUUUGUGGUACACACAUUCUUUCACCAACCGUAAGUGCGUUAUCCUUUCCUUCAGUGAAUCCUUUCGUUGAAUCUUCUGUAGUAGCCUGCUAGACCGAGGAAACUUCUGACCUCAUUGACAUUUGAUGGUGCCUUCCAUUCCUUGACUGCUUCGACCUUGGCGGGGUCUACUUUGAUUCCUUCAGUCGACACUAUGUGACCGAGAAACAUAACUUCCUUUAACCAAAAUUCACACUUGUUGAAUUUGGUAAACCAUUUCUCAUUGCGCAGGGUUUUGAGUACGAUGUGUAAGUGCUCUUCAUGUUGUUCUUCGGUCUUAGAGUAUACGCGGAUGUCGUCGAUAAACACUAAGACAAAACUAUCGAGAUACUGAUGGAAAACUCUGUUCAUCAGGUCCAUGAAAACUGCUGGGGCAUUCGUUAAAUCGAAGGGCAUCACUGUGAACUCGUAAAGUCCAUAACGCGUUCGAAACGCUGUCUUUGGGAUGUCUUCUCUUUUCAUCCUGAGUUGGUGGUAACCAGAUCUUAGGUCAAUCUUGGAAAACACACCGGCUCCUCUCAACUGAUUUAACAGGUCGUCUAUCCUCGGAAGAGGAUAUCUAUUCUUAUGAGCUUGCUUCAACUUCUUAUAAUCAAUACACAUCCUUAGUGUAUCAUCUUUACUUUGACAUCUUGAAUUAGUGCUCCCCAUAGUGACAUACUAUGUUGCAUGAAACUAGGUCUGGUGAAAAUUUGGUAAUUCAUUGGGAAAAUAUCUUUGUACUCUCAAAUCUGUUGAACUUCCUUAAUUGUUUCCUUCGUCCUAAGUCACCUUCUCAGAUUGACUAGGGAAUUCUAACAUCAAACUUUUCUCAUCGUCUUCGUAACUUUCACUUCGAGGAUUAAUGGCACUCCUUCUGCCAUGUAAACUCAUUUUCCCAUUUCCAAAUGGUUAUUUAAUGGGGGUUUCUAAGUUUCCAUUGUGGUGGCGUUCCAACUUUAUUCUUGCUGUAGCUUCUGGCACUUUAGCCAAAGCAUUCACUCUCUUAGCUUGAGCCUACUAGCCUUGGGGUUGGGUUAUACCUUAAGUUUAGUUCUAGUGCUUUCCUUCUAUUUAAGGUUAAGUUCCAUUGCUUUCCUUCCAUUUCCUUUUUCUUUACCUCCAUCUUGAGGUGGUGUACAUAUCUUGUUUGUGCGUGAACUUUUUCCUUCUCCAUUUGUUGUAGUGACUCGGUGGUGAGAGUCUCGUUCAUUGCUUGUUCCUUCGUAAUAUCUCCCUGGUUUACUAGGGGAAUUGAAUAUCUCAUGACGCGAUUCAUUUACGAACUCCUUUACGCAUUUCUCAUUAUUGUCCACCAUGUGGACCACAUAUUGACAGCUGGUUGAAAACUUCAUCAUACUCACUACCUGCUCCAGUUCUUCGCUUGGGAUUCCAAAAAUCGCUUUGAUUACCAAAAGACAGCUUGAUACUUAGUGCAUCGUUCUAAUGGUUGAAAACUAAUGACAAACUGAGUAAUUCUAAUCGCUACUAUACUUAUCGUGAUAAAAGGAUAUUCUAUUGUGACAACUAUAUAGUGCGAGUCUCUAUAUAUUGUGAUGAUGCUCUACCUCGAGAUCAAAAAUCUUAAUUGACAAUCACCGAGAUCUUAGUCAUGUGGGCUGGCCAGACCCAACAAAACGAAUCACUCAGUCAAAUGGGAGCUUCGCCCCCAAUCAUGUCAACUUCUUAUUCAUGUAAGGCUCUGGUCAAACUUCUAACUUAAAACACUUACUAACAAGUACUUCAUCAUCAGUUACUGAUACCAUGAAAGUCCAUUCUAUGCCGUUCUAGCAAAGCUAUCACGACUAACAUCAUAAUCAUAAGCAACAUAAGUUCUUAUGUGAAAAACUUAAUCUCACCGCUAUUGAAAUAGCUCAAGUGAAUCCUUAGUCUUAAGGCAUUGCCUCUAUGUUGUAACAUAUCUAUGUUAAACAUUUCUAUCUUACCAAUCCUUACUUAAAUCGAUCAAGCGGUGCUAUCACGAUUAACAUUCCCAAGGUAUUCUCGGGUGGUACUCAAACAGUUGUAAGAGGACCCUUCAUUCUGAUCGUAUAGGCAGUGAACCUAAAACGAUAACAUAAACUCUCAUUCAUUCAUUCAUUCAUUCAUUUGUUUCUUUUGAAACCUUAAAAACACGUGGACAAUAAAUGUCCCAUUCCUUAAAAACUUUGCUUUUGUCGGAAAGAUUCAAGGAAUCUAACUCGACCAUUCGUACAUUGAUUCGUUAAGGGCUCGGGUAGUCCCAAACACGAAAUAACAUUCAUUGAGUCGUUAUGGGUUCGGGUAGUCCCAAACACGACACUAUCGUUAAGGGCUCGGGUUGUCCCAAACACGAUACUUGCUUAGUUAUAUGAGUCGGAGACCCAAAAUAACAAUAUGAAAGCGAUUAGCAAUUCAUAACUUAUAGCAUAUGGAAAGCGGUAAGCAAUUCACAUAGCAUCAUUCAUUGAAAGCGCACACUUUUUCUUGGAAACAUUCAUAACAUCUGAAAUACAUAUAUGUAUAUUUUGAAACUAUUAUCGUACCUUGGUUACGGCAGUGUGACGGCGAGCUGAGGGUUAUUAACGUUCUUAGAAGUCUAGAGAUACUAUUCUAGACUCUACAUCAAAAAGCUUAUGGUUAUCAGAAACAUGAAAGGAAACUCAUGCUCUGAUACCAUUCUGUCACACCCCAAUUCUUGAAGGAAUAAAUAUAAUCGAGGUGUGAAUAAUUCAUAGAAAUAAACAAGGGAAAAACCUUGUUAAAACCGAAAUAUGAUAGAAACUCGGGCUAUGCCCCUUUGGAUCACAAGUUUUGUUUCAUGCUUCUGACAACCGACAUUCAUUAUCAUAAAUUUAGUAGUGAAGAGUCUAAGCUCAGUCAGGUAUAUCAUUUGACAUUUAACAUGAAGAUCUUAAGUUGGGAAAACAAAAGACGGAUAUGAGAAAUUGCUACAGUGGAAGUCUAACAUAGGAAAUUAACCAUAGCCUCAGCUUCGUCCCGUCAGCACCAUCCAGCCAACCUGAAAACAUUUGAAAGUAAUUUUGGGCUAAGUACUAAUGUACUUAGUGGGCAUGCAUUUUCUGAAACAUUUCAUAUUUUCAUAAAGACAGUUUAUCCAAUUAUACUUGACAUGACUUAGAAGGUUUUAAAUUGAAAGAACUUCUAAGCAGGUUAAAACAUUUCUUUCAUUUGUGCGCACAUGUCACACUCUCUUUCCGUUACUGAACUGCUCGUCUCCAUCGUGCCCGGCGACGAACGCCGCCCCGGAACACUUCUCCCUCAAAACUCCCGUCACUCCCCCCCUAUUCUCUCUCCUCCUUGGCGACGACGAAUCGCCGCCGCCUCCCUCGGCCUCUCUCUCUCGGCCCGUUUCCGGUGACUGCAACGACAGCCACCGCCGUCUCUCCCUCAGAUCUCCGGCCGACAGCAGCAGAUGAAGCAGGCUGCCGCCGAUUCUUCCUCAGCUCUCUCUCAACAUCGAAACCCACACCUCGCUCUGUCCGGGUCGUCUUCCUCCUUGGAAACGGCGAGAUCGCCGCUCCCUCCCUCUCUACUCCGCUCUCCCUCCGUCCGUGGCCGGACGACAGCGGCAGGGCCGCCGCGCCCUGGCCUCCUCUGUUAAGCCACCGCCCCCAACCCCUGUUCCCGAUGGCCGACGACCCCCAGGCCGCCGCCCCCUCUCCUUCCCCACUCUUACCGUGGCUAGGCAGCAACGGCAGAGCCGCAGCGCCUAGCCUCCCUCUCGGACUCCCGCCGACAAGCAGCAGCAGGAGCCGCUCGCGGAGCCCUAGGCUCAGCCUCCCCUGAAUCGACUCAACCCACAAGACCACCCACCUCUUUCUCUCCAACCGUGGCCGGGAGCAGCGGCACAGCCGCCGUGCCCUGCCUCCCUCGACUCUCGACUCGACAGCAAACACACAAACAAGUCAAGACUCAACCUUUCUUACCUUUUCUUUUUAAAACAAUCAUGCUUGAAAAUUUAUACGAACAGUAUAUGUAUAUGAAUAAAGUUUGCAUCUUUACAAAUCUUGCGAAAAUUUAUGCAAAUGAGUUAAAGGUUUAACCUUUAACAGAAUCUCCUGGGUUUUAUGCUGCUGAAAAUCUUAAAGAUUUGAUCGGUUGUGUUGCUGCUGUUCUUGGAGUUCUCUUUGGUGUUGGAACGAGAAAGAGAAGUGCGUGAAUGAGAGAGAAUGAUUUUAGUGAAGCAGCGGAUGAGAUAUUAGAGAAGAGAGGGAAUAGUGAGGCGGUGGAGGUGGACAAAAUAUCUUGGUGUAGAUGGGUUGGGCUUAGUAGGAAAGGUUUGGGCCGGUUUCUCAUUCUUUUUUUUUUUUGAAAGCAAUUAAAAGCUGGAGGCCCAAACAAAAUUAAAUCCCAACUCAUGAAAUGCUUGAGUGCUUAAUCAAAUAAAUAUGCAAUGCAUAUAAAUUUAAUAACUAAAUUUACAAAUACUUUUGUAAAUCAUUUUUGUUGGAAUUAAAAUAAAUCCAUUUUUUUAUCCGGCGUGAAUCAUCUUAAAUCUAAGUUCAAAAUUAUUCUAAACUUAGCUCGAGGAAACGGGGUAUUACAAUAACCAUUACUUUUAUUGAGUGUUUGGUUAAACAAUGGAAAUGAAUCAUCAGUAAGGGAUUCUCUUUCUUUUGUUUCUCCUCUAUUUUGAGGGGUAGCAAAUUGGGUGAUUGAGUUACCCUCAAGUAAGAGUAAUGAUCAACUCAUUACCCAAACCAAACAACAAGUAAUGGAUUUAAUUAAUUGAAUCUCUUUUCAACCUCUAAAAACACCCAACCAAACAUGGGCUUAGUAUGUUAAGUAUGGUAAGUGAAAAAGUGAAAAACUAUAAAAAAUGAGAAACUUUUACCAUAUAAGAAAACAUAACAAAUUUCGUGAAAUGACCUAGAAAGGAAUACGACUUAUAUUUCAUGGGACGGAGAAAAUAUAGUAUCUCUUUAUAAUAUUUUCAUAUAUUUUUCCAUCAAAGAGAACAUAUGAUAAAAAAUAGUGGGAAUCACUAAAGUGUGUUAAAAUUUUCUCCUCUUAUCUUUUCUCUUACUCCCUCCGUCCAUGAAAGAACUUCCUAGGAGGGAGUGACACAAGUUUUAAGAAAAAAUAUUGUUGAGUGUAUUGAGAGUGGAUAAAAGGUAGUUGAGUGUAUUAGGAGUGGUGAAAAUGUGUUACUCCCUCCGUCCCAACAUUGUUGGUUACAUUUGGUUUCGGCACGGGAAUUAAGGAGUUGUAGAUUAGUAUUUUAAGUGUGUGGGUAAUAUAGUAGUAUAAAAGUAAUAAAGUAGGAGAGAGAAGGUGAUAAAGUAUGAGAGAGAAGGUAAUAAAAUGAUAAAGUAGGAGAUAGAAUGUGAUAAAGUAGGAGAGAUAAUGUGAUAAAGUAAGAGAUUGAAUGUGAUAAAUAUUUUCAUUUUAGGAAAGUGGCCAAUAAUAGUGGGACAAACUAAAAAGGAAUAGUGGCCAACAAUAUUGGGACGGAGGGAGUAUAAUUAAUAUUGGGAGUUGUGAAAAGUGAAAAGUAAGAGGAUUAUAAGUGGUGGGGGGAUAUAGUCUAAAAAUAGGUAGGAAAUUUUUUUGUGGAGUCUCAAAAAGGAAAGAUAGGAAGUUGUUUCGUGGACGGAUUGAGUAUUUUUUAAUGAUAAACUUACUAUUAAAAAAAACACAACCUUAAUGAUUUAAUCUAUACCAUUUCGAUUUUGAAACACUCCUCCCACUUGAGUUUCUUUAUGGAAGAAGAAAACAAGCUGAACAUAUUUACCUAUAACAAUUCUAUAGUAAUAAUCAAUUAUUGUAAACUAGAACUAUAAAAAAUGAUCUGGUCCGACAAGCUCGUCAUAUAAAUUUUGGCCCAAAAACUCGGGUCAAUGUAGCCAAAAAAUGAUCUGGUCCGACAAGCUAGUCACAUAGUUUUUGCCCAAAAUCUCGGGUCAAUGUAGCCCGGUUAAGCUUGAAAUUUUUAUGCAUGAUAAAAAUAUUUAUUGGAUUUGGGUUGGACUGUAAGAAUGUUAUCCCAAUAAAAUUUCACCGAGUUCGAUUUUUCGGUAAAUGCAACAUUAUACUUAAAGAUAAUAUCAUGAUGUAUUAAAUUUGAGUCAUUUUUUUUUAUAUAAUAAAUUUGAGACAUUUAAUUUGAGGUAUAAUUUACUCCAUCACUAGCCAGUAGCCAACACAAAUAUAAAUUAUAAUCACAUUUGUUAUUAAUUUUAAACUUCAUUCGUUCUAUGAAACUUGAGCAGUAUUUCUUUUUGGAUUGUCCUAUAAAGUUUGAGCAAUUUUUUAUAUGAUAUUUUUUUUUUCAUUUAUUCACCAUUUCACUUUUUCACAUACUAUACUUAAUACAUAAAAUAUUAACUUUGAUUUACUGAGAUAAAUUUAUCUUAAAUAAUUUUAAAUUUAUUUAAUCUUGAAUAAUUUCGAAUCAAUAUAAUUUGAAUAAAACACACCCAAAAGUGGAGCAAGAUGAAGACCAUUAUAAGCGCACGAUUAUCCCGAUUGCGCUGUAAAAUUUAGACAAAUCAACGGUCGCAAACACUCCAAAUGUUUUCAAAAGUCUUUCCACAUAUUUGACAAGAAAAUCCACGUGACACUCCUCCUUCACCGUUCGACACCACCUCACAUGUCAAUUCUCGUGUUUUCGGCAAACUUUUCAAACUCGCAAUGCGGGCUUGUACAUUUAAAAGUCCCUUUGACUCUCUUUACCCUAGAUUAACUGUACAACACCUUGAAGCAUCGCUAUUUCUAACCUCAGCAGCUCCGUAUCGCAGUAUAUAUUUAUGAACUCAAUUUCAUUCGCCAAAAUUUUCAGAGUCACGAGUCACCUCUCACCUUCCCUACACAAUACACAAACUCUCUCUUUCUCAUAUACAUAUUUGUAGAUUUUAUUCAUAUUCGUCUCUGCAGAAAAACCACUGGUUCUUCAUCGAUUUGUGUUUACUGGUUUUGAUUGGCUAUGGAGCGGUUGAUCAAGCUCUCGGAAAGCUCAUUUUGCGUUCAUUUAUUGCAAAGCAAAUCAGGGGUAUAAAAUUAAUCAUCCAUUCUAUCUGACAAUAUGCACAGAGACGAUACAGCUCAGGGUUCUUUCUUGACUGUCUCAAAAUACAAUAGGAAAUUUGUAGCUUAUGCUUAUACGCUUCUGCAUGUUAUACACAGUGAUACAAGAUACGUAUAAAUGGCGAUAUUCAGGCGUAGAAAAGGCGCCAGUGGUAGAAGGCCUCAAUCGGACGAGAAGAAGGAGACAUUGACCAAGGAAUCGGAGGAAAAAUCGGAUUCAAAACUCAAUUCGCAGCGGAGCUCGCCUCCGGCGGCGGCGGCGAGGAGGAAACGGAAUUGUGUGGAUAGGUGCUGCUGGUUCGUCGGAUGCAUUUGCUCGAUGUGGUGGUUUUUGUUGUUCCUGUUCAACGCAAUGCCGCAGUACGUGACGGAGGCGAUUACGGGGCCGCUGCCGGAUCCGCCAGGGUUGAAGUUAGCCAAGGACGGGUUGCAAGCGAAGCAUCCGGUGGUUUUCGUCCCCGGGAUAGUGACGGGGGGGCUCGAGUUGUGGGAUGGGCACUCUUGUGCUGAGGGGUUGUUCAGAAACAGGCUGUGGGGUGGAACAUUUGGUGAAGUCUACAGAAGGUAUCCAUCAAUUCCUAAAUCAUUUUUAAUAAUACUGUAGCAUCUCUAUGUUUAUAGCAUUCGGAUUCUAUGGGACAACAGAACAUAUAAUUUUGUUGUUUUUAUCAAUUGUGCUGAUUAUGAUCCGUUGGGGGAUAUGAUACAUGCAUGUGGAGUAUAUUCAAGGUGGAUUUUAGCUAGUAACUGAUAGGUUAAUCGAGUUUGCGAAAUUUACAUUCCGUCCGAUGAUUGUUGAUUUUGGCUUGACAAUACCAAUGGAACUUUGAACCUUUCCAGAAAAUAGAUGUGAUAAAAGCUUAAUGCUACUCGCAAGGUUCAUUUUGUGACUUGCUUGGAACUGGAGAGGAUUUUCAUCGUACAGUUGCAGCAAUUAAUGUUGCAUUGCUGACUGAUAAUUGACAUGGAUGUAUCAAUGCUGGAUAUGAUGGAACAAGCUUAUGUAUUUACAAAUGAAGCUACUAAAUGGCUGACUUCUUCCUUCAAUAUAAUAUGAAACAUUGUACUGGAUAGAUACUAAUGUUUAAUGCAUCUGCUAUUAAUUUAAGGUAGUGCAUGCUCAACGGCCAUUUAUAACGAUGCGAUUCCGUAAUGGCUGCACAUUGAUAAUUGUCAAAUACUAAGAUACUAUUCAUAUGCUUUACUGAGAUCUCUCCUCUCAGUUCGCGUCUCCAUAUGCACCAGUGCAGAUAUGUGUUUAUUUGGAAUGUUUUCCUUUUCUUUGUAAUGUUAUUUUGAUAGAUUUCAGGGAUUUUUUAAAAGAGUUGCAUGUUUGAUGCUUGCUUGAUUUGCCUAAGUUAGCUUAUGUUGCUCUAUAAAAUCUUUUCAGUUUUCCACUCAGAAGUUGCAUUAUAUAUGCAGACCCUUGUGUUGGGUUGAGCACAUGUCACUGGAUAAUGAAACUGGACUAGAUCCUCCUGGCAUAAAGAUCAGACCUGUUUCUGGACUUGUAGCAGCUGAUUACUUCACUCCUGGGUACUUUGUGUGGGCACUUUUGAUUGCCAACUUGGCUCGUAUAGGAUAUGAGGACAAGAAUAUGUUUAUGGCAGCAUAUGAUUGGAGGCUUUCAUUUCAAAAUACUGAGGUGUGCCACUUUCUUACUUAGAAUUCUUAUGAUCCUUUGAACAAACUAAUAUGGCAGUAAUUAGAAAAGCUCAUUGUACGUGGAGCCCUGCCAGUUUUAGGGCCUUUAAUGGGAUUGAACCAUUGAUUAAGUUCUGCCAUGAAAGAUGGUCAUUUACACAGAUAAAGGCGACCUAACCUUAUUCGUAUAGCUUAUAGCUUUCAUAUUUCUAUUGAACUUUCCUCAUCCUUGGUUUCUUUCUAAUCAUAGACAAAUUGUAUUCUCUUUUACUAUGUUCUAAUCUUCAGGUUCGAGACCAGACUCUCAGCAGAAUGAAAAAAAACAUAGAGCUCUUGGUUACGGUUAAUGGUGGUAAAAAGGUGGUAGUAGUACCACAUUCAAUGGGUGCUCUGUAUUUCUUGCAUUUUAUGAAAUGGGUGGAGGCACCUGCACCAAUGGGUGGUGGUGGUGGACCAAAUUGGUGCGCAAAGCAUAUAAAGGCUGUAAUGAACAUUGGUGGACCUUUUCUAGGUCUUCCUAGAGUAGUUUCAGGAUUAUUUUCUGCUGAAGCCAAGGAUAUUGCAGUUGCAAGGUUUUUUUGUCUAACUCUCUUGAUUUACCGGUUUGGAAUGAUUGUCAUAGUGAUCUGCAGCUCUUCCACUAUAUUGCAACUGUUGUAUGAAUUAAUGUGUGGCUAUUUUCCAUUAAUAGUCACCUGGUGCCGCACGGUUUUCUGGUAGAUUACUUGAAAAAUUACAAAUGUUCUCAAACCUAGCAUAACUGCCCCCAUCUGUCGUUUCUGUUGCGUUAUUGCGCCAUCAUGAGUUGUGCAAAAUACAUUUGGUUGCUACACAAAGCUUAGGUUCUUCUGUUUAUCUUUCUUUCAUGGUUAUUAGUUGAAUGAUAUUAUAUUGAGUUUCAGUGCAAUUGGUUGCUGUGGUUUCCUAGAAGAAGCUUAUGACAUAAUUUCUUCUGGUUAUACGUAAAUGCCUAUCUGCUAUUGAGCACAAAUAUGCAGUUAACUGUAUGCAAAGAAUUGAUGAAUCUUUUCUGUGGUGCGAUGAUGAAUCUUCAAUGUAGAUGUUAAGAACCACCCCUUAGGCCUUACCCCCGGAAAAAAAAGGUUUUGUUUGGUUAUUUGUUAGAGUUUUUUGGAGGGAGAUUAUAAAUCUUCACAGAAUUGAGUUUUUUAUUCUUUUAUUUCCCCCUUUUCCUCCCGUCCUCAAGCUCAGGUUUGGUUACUUUUUGCUGCUUCUGCAGGGCUGUCGCACCAAAUAUUUUGGAUAAGGAUGUAUUUGGCUUUCAGACUUUACAGCAUGUGCUGCGAAUGACUCGUACUUGGGACUCAACAAUGUCGAUGUUACUCAAGGGUGGGGAUACUAUCUGGGGUGGAAUUGAUUGGUCCCCUGAAGAAGGUCACAUAUGUAGUCCAAAGAAGAAUGGUUAUGAUCAAACAACGGGUGAUAACAAGACUCUGAAUUUGACCACUUAUAGUCGCACAAAGUAUGGAAGACUGAUAUCAUUUGGAAAGGAAGUGGCUGAUUUGCAUUCAUCAGAGAUUGAGAGUGCUGAUUUUAGGGUAACUUUUUGGCUCACACUCAUUUAUUUACUUGGGGAGCUCUCAGCCUAAUCGAUGGUGAACCCUCUCAACUUCACACAUAUAGGCUGCACUAAAGAAUAAAAUAGCACUUGCUUGUUUAUUUCCAUGAUCUGCCCAGAGAAGUAGAAUAACAUAUUUACUUUCUCCAUUUUCUGAAUUAGAAACAUUCAAAAACUGAUUUUUUAUGCUAAAGAUGAAAUGUCUUUGUUGGCUUCAAGAAAAUCAGAUUCAUUGAUGUCCAUGUUUUGGAUGAUCCUUUAGGGUGCUAUCAAGGGUAAUAAUCUUGCAAACACAACAUGCCGUGAUGUAUGGACAGAGUACCAUGAUAUGGGCAUCGAUGGGAUCAAAGCAGUUGCUGAUUAUAAGGUCUACACAGCUAAUUCAAUGCUGGACUUGCUAUAUUUCGUUGCCCCAAAGAUGAUGAAGCGUGGUGGUGCACAAUUUUCAUAUGGAAUCGCGGAUGAUCUGAGUGACAAAAAAUAUGAUCAUUACAAAUACUGGUCAAAUCCUCUUGAAACAAAGUAACACUCUUUACUUCCUUUGUAUAAGUAUCCUUCAUUGGAUGUCUUUGGCUGAGUCUUAAACUUCAUAAUCCUGCAGUUUCCAUGGUAGUCUGCAUUAGAAGUUAGAUUUUAUUUCAAAUAAUCAAACAUUAGUAAUAGUAACCCUAAAUUGGUUUCGGAUCUCCGUCCCUCACAGCAACUUUUAUCCUUGGUGCAGAUUACCAGACGCCCCAGACAUGGAGAUCUUUUCAAUGUACGGAGUAGGUAUCCCUACUGAACGAGCAUACAUAUACAAGCUGAGUCCUAGUUCAGAAUGCACUAUUCCUUUCCAAAUUGACACCUCAGCUGAUGGUGGAUCCGAAUGCCAUUGUCUAAAAGGAGGAGUAUAUUCCGUAGAUGGAGAUGAAACUGUACCAGUUCUAAGUGCUGGAUUUAUGUUUGCUAAAGGUUGGAGGGGAAAGACCAGAUUUAAUCCCUCGGGUAUCCGUACCUUCAUAAGGGAGUAUAAUCACGCCCCUCCUGCAAAUUUACUACAAGGCAGGGGAACCCAAAGUGGAGCCCAUGUUGAUAUAUUGGGAAACUUUGCUCUAAUUGAAGAUAUCAUCAGGAUUGCAGCAGGUGCAACUGGAGAAGACAUAGGAGGAGACCGAGUGCACUCAAAUAUAUUCACAUGGUCCGACAGGAUUAAGCUAGAACUGUAGAUGCUGUUGUAGCUUGGCUUGGUUAUAUAUGCUCUAUUUAUAUGAUCAUUCAAUCAGCAUCAUCCCAUGCUUGCAUGAUUGUGAUUUUUCAGCUGCUAAUUCUUCAUCCCGCUGUUAAUACAUUCUUGGCUCCAUUUCCUUAAGAGAUAUAAGCAUUUUGCUGUUCUGCAGAUGAAUCAGAUAAGUGGAUAGUUCAAAGUAAUAUUUUCGCAAAGUAGCUUGUGAGUUUUACUGAACAUAAUAGUACAGCUGGGGCAUGUGUUAUUCAGAUAUAAUUUGAACGUAAUUAUUAAAUUUGGAUGGAUUAAUAGUUUGCAAGAUAUGUGUGUUUACCAGUUUAUUGAUUUAAUCAAUAUUAUUAGAAAAUUUAGAUUUAUAACCGAUUUUAUAAAUCGUGUUAUUUAAAUCAAAUUGCUAGAAUUAUAACUUGAGAUCAUAUGCAUAAUAAUUUUAUUAUUUCGCGUUAUAUGUGUUAAGGUAUUAAGUCGCGAAUUAAUUCCGACUUUCACGUAUUAAAUCUCAAGAUUGAGGAUUUAAUUUAUAUAAAUACGACGAGUAUUUAUUAAACGAGAAUUGGAGAAUUAUUACAGGAACUAGGAAAAACUAGAUCACGGCACUACACGUAUGUCUCGAUUUUUCAUCCAACACAUCAAUUCCUACACUAUUUCCUAUACUAUUCCCUACACUAUUCCACCUUCCCUCCAACACCUCAUUACUGCAAAUUUUUUUAAAGUUGCAUUAUCUUCAUGCAUGUGUAAUUGCUCCAUUUUACUACAUUUUCUUCCAUCUUAAACUCUUCUGCAAAAAGUUCAGUUUAUCACCAACUCUCUCCUACAACUAUCUCGCUACAUAUAUGUAGGGAAAAUGUUUUGACACCUCUAAAACUAUACACCAUUUAUCCAAAAUGCCCCAUACUAUUAAUAAUAGCCAAACAAUAUGUGAACUAUCAAAUGUUUAAUCAUAUCUAACAUCUUUCAUAAUGUUGAUUGGGCAUUAGUUCAGCAGAUGUGUCAAUACAUCAUGAGGUGGAAUACAACUACAAAAGAGAUAACAAUCAUGUACAAUUUCUUGACAGUAACCAUCUCUCUCUCUCAGUAUACGGGGAAAAUGUUUUGACGUCUAAAACUAUACAACAUUUAUCCAAAAUGUACAAUACUAUCACUAAUAGCUUAACAAUCAAUUUUCAAAAGCUUCAGCACGCCGAGAAAGAAAUUUCACGGCAAGAUCACAAUUGUCAAAGGAUGCAAAUUUCAACGAUCAAAUCUUACAAAAGUUGCAACUCCCGGUACCAAAAUUUCCACCAUUUUGAUUCUGUUGUCUGCAGUAAACUCCUACUAUAAAAUUGAGGAGAGUUCUGCAGAAGGAAGCAGUGCAGCAAGAGGUGUGAGGCAAGAGAGAGUUUAGGAGUAUUUUUUUUUUACUUGUCAAGAGCUCAAGUGAGCUCCCUUCGCCGGGCCAUUUCUUCGUCGACCGGCCACUAGGCUCUGAACCGAGAACGUGUACUCGUUCCUCCAUCUUUAGGCUACCAAACCCAACAAUCGAAAGGCCGAAACCUUCUCUAUAUUUUCCCGACCAAAGGCCACAAUAUCCUUCGGAGGCCAACGUCGAAUUCCCGACUUAGCCACCGGCCAACUUACGGCCUUCGUUUCUCACUAUCCUUACGACGAAAAAGGAUCGAGAAACCACCGUUCGUGUAGCCUGAUCUANCUAGUUAAUAACAUUCUUGAUGCUCCAUUUCCUGGUUUGAGAGAAAGAUAUAAGCAUUUUGCCUCUGUUCGUGCAGAUGAAAUCACCAAGAUGAACAAGUGCAGAAAGCAGGUUCAAAGGUAAUUUGCUUCUGCAAAGUAGACUUGUGAGUUUUACUGAAACAAUAAUAAGUACAGCUGGGUGCAUGUGUUGUAUUAGAUAGUUUAAUUUGUAACGUGAAUUUAUUAAAUUUGGACUGGAUUAAAGUAAUUGUUUGCAAGAUAAUGUGUGAAAGUCACUUCUCUUUCUCUCUCAAUUGAUUCUCGCGUGUGAUUUGAUUAGAUAUGCAGUGUAUGUAAUUAAGUAGUUCCAUGAAUUGAAUAUUUGGCGGGAGUGAUUUUAAAUUUGUGAAAAAUCACGAUUCAAUUAUUAAUUGUAAUCAUGGAUAAAAUGGAUCAAGCGUGAUUAUGUACAUUUUCCUUUGAGUUCUUGAUAGUAUAGGACAUUAUAAAGGAGAAGACAAACUCUUAAUUCCGAUGCAAUCAAUCUUUAAGUUCCCAAACUCUUGAAUUUCAUUGAAAUUAAUGACUUUUAAAAUUAGAGAUUCAUUGGUCUGACAAAAUCAAUCAAAUGCAGUAACAGAAUGAAACAUAGAAAACUACCACAUAACAUCAUUCUUUAAAAUGAAAACGAAACACAGAACAAAAAAGGCAGCCAACAGGAAAAAUAUAAUGAAAUUAAAAUGUACGGUGCCUCUACUCUACUGGGCCAGUGUGUUUCUCUCUCUGACAAUAGACAAUGGGGAUAUGGAAUGUUUUAAUUUGGGAUUUGGGACAUACAUGUCUAUUGUAAGGUUUGUGUUCUGAGAAGUGAGAAGCACAAAACACUGUACGAUUUUCUUACAACGUCCCAUCCUUGAGUCUCUCAUGCAUGCAUUUCGGGUUUUAUGCUUCUUAAUAUUGUCUUACUAUUUCCUUUUACUUUAUAUAUUUUGCACAAUAAUUCUUAUUUUUAGAUUAACAAUCAAGAACUCAAACGAUCUGCAAACGCAAUACAUGAUUAAUUAUUGAAAUUCAUUCACAUUUCUGUACAUAUUUGAAAUUUAUUAAUACUCCAUGCAAUUUUUCACGAAUCAAGAUGUCCACUGAUGGAUCCAGGGAGCUUCCUCCCAAUUUUUUAGUUUUAUAUAUAUAUAUAGAGAGUUGCAUUCUACGACAACCACUUCUCUAGAUAGAGAAUAAAGACCAAAUUAAGACAUUUAUUGAAUCUCAAUCAACAAUCCAGAUUGCAUUCGAAUUUAAUUUUUCAUGUAAUUAAAAAUUGGCGAUUAACAUUUAUUUAAUCGAAAAAGGUCAAAUAUGUAAAAAAACAAAUUGACCGAAUUCAUCCCGUUGAACAAAUCCCGAAAAUUCCUCUCUUCCCAUUCUGGGACCUGAUCUAUUUCGACGAACAUAUCGAUGAACAUUAGUAUGUUCAUUUGUUUUUGUACGAACAUGUCGACGAAUAUUAGUAUGUUCAUUUGUUUUUAUACGAGCAUAUCGACGAGUAUUAGUAUUUUUCUAUUUUUUAGGAGUUGNAUAUUUUUCUAAAUUACAAAUUAACUCAUGAAACAUUCAAUUUUAUUUGAUGUUUGUAAUUUAUAUCAUUAUUACAUUUAUCAUAUUUGAACCAUAUCUAUAAUAAAUAAAAUUAGCUAUAAUAGAAUAUACAAUACAUUAUAAGUUAUGUAUUAAUCUUUUUCUUUUGUGAUUCUAAUGCUAAUAUUUAUUAAAUUGAGGUUUUUUUAUAAAAAGAAAAAGAAAAAAGCCAAUGAAAGCACAGUAAUGCAGACUAGAGGCACGAGACUCGGAAAGGAGCUCGUCAAACAGGAAACAAAGCAAAAAACGAUUUAAAACCAUUCAAAAAUCGUCCACCUCCAUUUCGUCCGACCAACGUCCUGUGGCGAUAUUAUUCAUAACACGCAAACUAGCACUUCCGCUAUGAUCAAUGACGAAGUACCUCGGCUUCUGACCCAUUUCCUCCGCAUUUCUGAGGCGGCUUUUUAUGCUAUCUUCAUGAUUCUGUGUAACGCGCGGACGCUCCAUACCUUUUGGAGGACGUCCUCGUCGCUUAGGCGGUGCUUGAUCAACAAGCAUUUGCAUUCCUUGGCUAACCUGCGCCUCCAACCGACUGAUACGACUAUCAAUAUCUUCUGGAGCAGUAGUGUGCGAGUCUUUGCUUUGCUCACCCAAAUCACCAUCCAAUUUUUUAGCCUGCUGACCAACGAACUCUCCAGCUUGCUCAGAAUUGCGAGCUUCAUCCAAAUCAGCAGCAGCCGUAACAAUCUCAGUCGGAUCCCCAGCCGGCGUUUCCAUCUCAAUUUCCUCGUCCACCUCGUCCUCACUACCAGUCGUCUUAUGAAGCUCCUGAUCAACCGAAACCAACACCGCUGCCUCCGGCUCGUAUAACGCUCUCUCCUCAGAGCCAUGAUCGUCAACCCUCUUGGAAUCCAGAACUGGGUUACUGCCAGCCAUCUCAUGGCCUUCAUUCUGGAAAUCAUGCUGCUGCCCCCCCGUCGCCAAAUGGCCAAAACUAGUAGUGUUCUGCUGUUCCCCCGUGGUUUGCACGAUUGGGACAACAACCUUCUUGCCCUGCUUCACAAUGUGCCAUUGUUUAUGAUUCACAACACCAGACUGAUGGUUAGGAGCAGCCGUCAGAUUUUCCUCAAUAGCUACCGGCUCCACACGUCGUUUUUUUCGACAUGUUUCUUGAGAAUGCCCAGUUAUUUUGCAACGACGACAGUAAAGAGGCAAAUUUUCAAAGACAAAUUCAACAUGGAAUGAUGUAUCCUCACCAUCAAUUAAAAGAGUAGAAGGUAGAUUUUGCGACAUAUCGAUUUCCACAAGGAUUCUAGCGAAUUGUCCGAAGUCACGUCGUGCCGACGCUCCAUCGAUCUUUAAGGGGUGACCCAAAUAUCUGCCAAUUCCAGAAAUAACCUGUGGGUUCCAGUAUUCUAUCGGCAGAUAGUGUAUGCGAACCCAACGUCCGCAAAGGGGAAUUCUCUUUGAAAGGAUCAAAAUUUCGAGUCCAUUCACGGAGUCGAAGGAGCCCUUUUGAGAGCUCCCAAACUGCCUUUCCCUUUGCUGUAGCCUUAUCUUCAGCCGUAGUAAAUCGGAGAGUGAAAUAACCUUUUCCCAAAGGAAUUAGUUGCCAAUCACAGGCUAAACUCCAUAAUCUCUGAAGUUCCCACUUUAGUUCCAUAGUUGAUCUCGGUUUGUCUCCUUUCUGAAGAAACAAACGUCCUGUCAAAGCAAAUUCAAAGGCCUUAAUCUCCUUAAGAUAUAGAUCCUUUGGUAUUUUGAGGGAGAACUGAUCGCCCUCCUUAGUAGGCCGCAGAUCAUGAAAAAUGUGAGCAGCCAAAUCCUGUAUUUUCACCGGCUUCUUGCCAGUAGCCUCCGCAUAAGAAACUCUAUCGUCAUUCUUAGGUGAGAUGCUAACGAUGUCGGAAUAAGUGAGAAUCUGGGUAGGUUGCUUAUCUGUCAGAUUUGAUGAGUUACCAGUAGAUCUCAGUCCGACGGCAACCGCGUCGGAAUCAGUACCUGACCCCCUGGAAGGCAGACGCAUACCAUGGGAGAGAUCAGGUUUAGUUCGAACAUCAAAGUUGGAAGAAACCGGGGGAAGGUUAAGACCCCCUUGUCUGGACCGAUGAUCGGCGAACUGGUGGCCAUCCGCCGGAAGGGUGAGCCGGAGGGGUCGGCGGUCCAGAUCUUGUCGGAGCAGAUCCAAACCGCGGCCACGAAGACGAUGGGCAGCGGCGCAACGGUAAGCGAAAGGGCAAGAGCGGCGCCACGGCAAGCAGGGGUGGGGAGCAACUGACGGCAGAGGAGGUGUUCCUUUGCGGUGGGGAGCAACUGACGGCUUUCCCAAGUGGUCGCCGAUGGAGUAAAGUAUAAUCAAGAUUAAAAGUAGUUCAUUAAAAGUAGUUCAUUAAAAGUAAAAUCAAAGUAUAAUCAAAGUAGUUCAUUAAAAGUAAAAUUUAACUCACACACAAACAUAAAAGAUUAAAUUUUCAAUUUUAAAAAUUUGAGGAUAUUAUAGAGUAGUACCUCUAUAUCAAGAUAAGUGAUUUACUACAUUUAUUACCAAUUUUAUAAAUUUUCAAUAUAAAAUACGGACUAUUAAAGCGGACAAGUGAGUAAGAUUUUUUUUUUUUUUUUUAAUAAAAUCAAAUUCGUUAUUACAAUUUGAACUCAUGAAGAUAAUCAAUUUUUUUCUCACACACAUUAACAUAAAGUGUCAAUUUCUAAAAAAAGGGAGAAUAUGAAAACAUCAAUUCAAAAUAAUUUCACUACAUUGAACCUUAAAAUAAAUCUUUUACUUUCUUUAAAAAAAUCUUAAACUUUUACAUUAUCUUAUACUACCAUUUUCCUCAAUCAAAUUCUUCCACUUAAAAAUUAUUUAUUUUAGUUUCAAAUUUAUCUUUAAAAAAUCCAUAAAUUCACACUAAAAAAAGUAUAAAUUUUAGUGUGCGCAAAACAAUCAUCCAACUUCUUCUCAUUUCUAUUGUCCUCAUCUGUGUGGAUAAAAUAUACUCUAUCCGUCUCAACUAAAUAGACUUGUUUUUCUUUUUCUGAUGUCCCAAAAUAUAGGUUAAUUUUCAAAAACAUUUUUAAAUCAUAUACAAAUAUAUCUGUUUAAUUUUUUGAUUAACUAUAGCAUUGAUGUAUCGCUAAAUAAUAAAUAUGGGCAUAUUAGGAACUAGGAAGUUAUUUGUAUAAUUUUCUUUUCAAAGAUUUUCUUAAUCCUUGUGCAAAAUUCAAUCAGCCUAUAUAAUUGGGACAAAAAAAAUAUUUUGAAAAAAGUUCGAGUUGUAUAAUAUGCAUAAAAAGUAAAAGUUCUAGAAAAUCUUUCUUUAUAAGUAUAAACCUGAAAUAAAAAAUAUAUGAAAUUUUUUAUGGACAUUUUAAAUAGCUAAUAAUGAUCGUUGAUAAAAUAUGUUGUUGAGAUAUUGGUCAUAUAAAAAAUAUAUGGAUAUUUUGAUGAACAUUUUAACUAGCUAAUAAUGAUUGUUGAUAAAAAUAUAUUGUUGAGAUAUUGGUCAUUGAUUUUACUAGCAUAUAACUAUAAAAAUCAUCUAUAUUUGUGAGAUCUUAGUCACACACAUAUUUUACUCCCCAUCAGUCUAGGGCUGUCGAUCGGUUCGGGUUCGGUUAUCCGUACCCGAAUUUUCGGUUACCCGAACCCGAAAUUGCCAUAUUUUACUAACCGUUCCCGAACCGUUUUAGAUAUUCGGUUAUCCAAUAACCGCUUCGGUUAACCGAUUCAGUUAUUUGGGUAUCCAAAAUACCCGUUUAAAAAAUUAAAAUUCAUAAUCCACCACUUAAUCAAUCGCAAUUCUCACCAUUAGCAGAUGUACUUAUAGGUUCUCAAACAGAAAAAAAAUAAAACAUAGUUCAAUUUUUUUCUCACUGAAUGUAGGGUCACAGCCUUGAAUUUCAAUUUAAGAACUCGGUACACACAUAUGAUUAUAUUUUGGUGCAUUAUAUCAAAAAGGAUAAAAAUUGAGAGCAUAAAAAUUCGAUUAAAUUGAGAGCAUAGUCCAACACUCUAGUCUUGAACAAUACAAAAAUUUGAUUAAAUUCAGAGCAUAAAAAUUGAGAUUUUUGAGUGCAUUCCAGUAGAUUCAGCGCACAAAAAUUAAGAGCAUAAAAAUUCAGAUUUUGGAGUACAUUUCAGUAGAUUCGGCGCACAAAAAUUCAGAGCAUAAAAAUUCAGAUUUUGUCAAAGUUUAUGAUGAUUCAGCGCACAAAAAUUCAAGUAUAAAAAUUCACAAACUCAAGUAAAUUCAAGUAUAAAAAUACAUAAAGAUUCAAAGCACAAAAUUCAGAUUUUGGAUAUCGAGUAGGUUUCGGCGAUUCGUGGCGGAGCAGCGGAGUUUGGCGGAGAGGGGCGGCAUCUCGUCGGAGCGGCGUAGUUUGGCGAGAAGUGGAGCAAGGCAGCCGGGGACUUGCAGUGCACGCAAGAGGGAAGUUGACAUCGUGCGCAGGUAGGCAGCGGCACCGUGGACUUGCAGCAGCUGACGGAGGGCAGCGGCGGACGGCGUCGCCGACUGGAGACUAUAGAUAGAGAAGAGAGGGUGGGGUGUUGAGCGGCGGGUGGGUUUGGUAGGGUAGGGAGUGUUCAGAAUUCAAAUUGAAAUUAGGAUUUAAGGCUUUAACUUUUAAUUUUUAAAUAAUUAUUAUAAUUAAAAUAUAUAUACAUAUAUAUAUAUAUAUAUUAAAUUAUUAAUUAAAUAGUUAUCGGUUAUUCGGUUAACCCGAUCGGGUUAAUCGAUACCCGAAUUUUUCAAGAAAAUGAUAACCGAACCCGAACCAAUACCCAAAAUUUUCGGUUAUUGGAUAACCGAACUGGAGCGGUUCGGUUCGGUUAUUGGAUUAUCCAAAAUCUAAUAUCCAUUUAGACAGCCCUACUCAUUACUUAGUAUUGGUGAGAUCUAUUGACUUAAAAAACUUAAAAAUUUUAUAUUUUUAUUAUGAAAAUAUUACCAAUUUUAAUAUAGUUGUAUAAGAUAAAAAGAUAUUCAACUUCAAAUAAUAUAAAUUUCUUAUACUUUUUAUUCAUUUAGUUAAAUAACUAUCAUUGUGCAUCGCACGGGACCAAAAUUAGUUUUUUGACAAAUUUUGAGGUCAUCCACCAUUUUUUUGUCUACAACCAUAUCGAAGUGUUUAGCGAUGAUGUGUUGUUUUAAAUCCUCUUUUAAACUAAAAAUCGGCCACCUUUGCAGCCACCUCCAUCUUUUCCGAGAAUCAAGAUGACUGUACAGAAUUCUUUUUAGUCUAUACAGUAGUUUAGCAAGCUGUGUACGAGUAAACUUAAGAUAAAUUUCAUGCCAGGCAGGUCAAUCAUCACCAGGCAGUACGCUCUUACAUCGUCGUAAUAGUGGCCUUUCCAGCAAUAUGUACUGCAGAACCAACUUCGGGUUUAACAACUAACAGGAGUGAGGAAUAUUUAAUCAAAUUAUAUUUAAUAAUAGUAUUUUAAUAAUUCACAUAAUAACAAAAAAUUAAUAUGAGAAAAAUCCUAAAAUAAACAAGCUAUUAUAUAAAACAAAUCAUAAAGAAUUCAACAUAAAAAGUAAUUGACGAGGACAAAAAUAUGCAUCACUUGAAGAUAGGAAGAUUGAAACAAAUCCAAUUCAAAUUCGCCGCUAACAACGCUGUUGAUUUUAACACAAUGCUGCUGAUGAUCUUGCAGGUCUGAUUUCCCGGGCCAAACCUUAUCCCAGAGAAUCUCAAGUAUAUCGACACAAAGGAGAUCGAGAUAAAACACAAGAUAGCCAUCAAGAGUUCAAGUCCGAUUCUAAGUCCAAAAGAAGUCAUAUUCUUACUAGAAUUGAUGAUGUUUUAGCCUAUAAAUACGUGUAAAACCCUAUUGUAAAAUCAUCAUUCACAUACGCUCAAUUAUUCAAAGCCUUAUGCUAUAUUCAAUACCAAAGUUCUCUAUAUUUUAGCAAUCGUCUCGUGUUCUUUAGUUUUCCGUUAUAGAUGAUAUUUUUUGGCACAAAAAUUGGCGCCGUCUUUGGAAAGUCGAAACCCAAGCAAGACGUUUGAAGAUAGUUUUUUGUUAACGUUUUCUUCCACGCAUGUUAAUUCAUUACUGAGCCAUGGAGAAGGAGAACGGCAAUAUCAAUGUCAACCGUGACCUCAACGUAGAUUUCAACCAAGGAGAUGACGGUCAUAAUCGAAUCUUGGACUUGGCAACAUGGAUCGUCAGCAAUAACGAGUCUAUUGAUCGAGUGCCGAUUAAUACAGUCAUCAACAGCACUGCCAUAGCGACACUCGCAUGAAACAACCCUGCAACGAAUUCUAAUGAUGCUAUGUUACAAACCCUCAACUUACUACUCAUGAGGCAAUUAAUGAGUAUGGCCGGAACAUCAAAUUCUCGUUCACCACCCAUGCACCACCAGUUACUACCCCAGGUAGUGAUCCUUAAACGCAGAAAACCCACGAGGGAGCCAAAAGAACCAAAUCCAUCUUGACUGAGGCAACAAAGGAAGGAGAAAACUCUGGAGCUCAGGAGAACCCUGUCAACAAAAACUUGCGUGAUCCUAUGGAUCAAGUACUCAUAGAAGACGUGGGAGAAUCAACACAAGAGGCAUUAGAGAAAUUGCACCGAGGCGGAGCAAAUGAGAUGGAUCUACCAACUAAACUUGCAAUCAUGCAGCAACAAGUACAUGAUUUGCAGGCAACCCUGAAGAAUAAGAAGGGACGACGAGAGCCUAUUUAUGAGGAAGAGUUCUCGGAGACACUAAAAGCACCAUCGAAAGAGUGAGUAGUGUAUCUUUGAAAUUGGGAGACAAGGAAGGAGCUACCACCCAAGAGGUCUAUCUGAGCGAGUAGUGUAUCUUUGAAAUCAGGAAACAAGCGAGGAGCCACCACCCAAGAGGUCUACAUGCAGCGUUACAAACCUGUAAAAUGUGUUGUCAGAGGAAAUUCUGUCAGAUGUGUUGUCGGCGCAUUACAUACCUGAUUUGAGGGGCUCAUGACGCUGCACCAAUACAGUGAGGGUAUUCGUUGUAGGCUCUUUUCAACAACCCUAUCAGGCUUGGCUCAAAAAUUAUUUCGCAAGUUAAAGUCAGGAUCUAUCCACAAUUUUGACAAGCUUUACGACCUGUUCAUGCACCAGUUCGCCAGUUCCAAAAGAGCAGAAAAGGCGAUCAUGUCCCUGAUGGACAUACAACAUGAACCGCAAGAGACUUUGAGGGAGUACGCUGCCGAUUCAAUAUGGCCUCAUUGGAGGUACCAGAGGUCGAGUCAGUAAUAAAGGAUUAUGCUUUCAUCUGGGGACUCAAACCAGGACCACUGUUCGACGCAUUACAGAUCACAACAGCGAGGACUUUGAUGAUCUACUGUCCCGCCUGCCUGAGUACAUACAAUUGGAGGAAGCUAAAGCAGCUAGAAAAGCAGAAGCUGACAGAAAUCGGAAUAAGAGAUCAAAAAAUGGAGAUGAACGAAAUGAAGCUUGAUACCCUAACAGGCCGGCACCAAAGGCACCCCCACCCAGAUGUCCGAUUGCUUUUAAUAUCACAACAGAGCAAUGCCCAAUGCCGGAAAGAGGAGCCGAUGAGGGGAGAAGGGUAGUCAAUGAACAACGCCCCUUACUAAGAAGAAGUGUCGACAACAGGAGAUAAAACAUCAACGAAAUCUGCAGAACUCCAACAUAUGAAACAUACACCCCCCUGAACAGAACCCAAGAAUACAUCUUUCAUGCUGUAAAAAACAAUGAUUGGUUUCAUCCGCCCAAGUCAUAUGUAAAGGGAUCUCCGCAACAGGACCUAAUGACUUGCUUUGCGAGUUUCACAAUAGAUUUGGUCACACCACGAAUGAGUGCACACACCCGAAGUAUGUACUGAAAUUCCACGUAAGGAGAGGCCAAUUGAAGUAAUCCAAAAGAGAAUAAGGGGCAGUAGGCUCGAGAGAUCAAAGGGAGCAGAGGCGACCGCCUACACCACCGCAGCUGCCUAAUGAAGUAGUAAGAAUGAUCACUGGAGGAGAAAUAGAUGGAGCAUCCAAUAGAGCCAGAAAAGUUGUAAUUGGGGCUGCCAGAGCCUAGGCAAGUCAGGUAAUGAUAAUUAAUGCAGUUAUUUCUUUUGGACCAAAGGACGAAAGACCACUGAUGAGGCCACAUAAUGAUGCCGUAGUUAUUUUAAUAAUCGUAGCAUUCAAGCUAAUUGCAUUACAUUUUACGGUGAUUUGUUAGUAUUAGUUUGUUAAAUUUUGUGUUAUUUUCGAUCCCCUUUUUUAUUUCUUAGUUAAUUUUCAUUGCGGAGUUUAAGUCAAUCCUCUAAUUAAAAUAAGAUUAUGAAUUAUUAAUAAUUAAAAUUAAAUUAUUUUUAUAGAAAAUGAAACAAUUUUUUAAAAUGCACACAUACAAAUUUUUCUAAUAUAAUUUCAAUAUACUUGUUGUUGAAUCCAUAGAACAAUUAUUUAUUAUAAUAAAUGAUUGAAUUAUAGUCCUAAACCUAUUAAAAUUUUAUUUAGACACAAAAAUAAAUUAUACCAUUGCCUCAAAAAAUUUGAUUCACUCAUAUAAAUACUUUCAAGUCCCAUCAAUAACUCUUCUGACGAGCUGACCCAUUCAAUAAGCAUCACCAUUCACCACUUUCUCAACGGAAAUGAAUAUGUAUUUGUACAAACUAGCUGCUGCAUUUUCAUAUUAUUAUUAUUAAGAAAAUACCACAAUAUCGUUCACAUAUAUACAUAUAGAUGAUGAGUCAUGACUUAGGGUGGCAUAUGCACAACAGCAUCACAUAAAACAAAAGGGUUUAUAGUCGGUGGAGUGUGUACAUUCACAUUCAUAUUCACAUUAACUUACUCGUUAAUCUUACAUUACCAAAUUAAAUUAACUCAAAAUUAUUUUCAAAUAAUUUUAUUAGACAAGGAAGCCAAAACUAAUCAUAUACAUCAUGAAAUAGUGGUAUCUAAUCUACUAAGACAAUCUCACGAAUUACGAUUUACAUAUUUCACGAAACAUUGGGUUUUUUUUUUUUUUUUGAUAUGAUAGUGAAUUUUCAUGUGGAAUUUGGAUAAGGAAGCAUUGAAUUGAGUUUGGUGUAAAAAUUUGGCGUGUUGUGUGGUGUUGUCUGUAUGUGGAAAAGGCAAAAAGAGUCAAAAACCACCGGGAAUUGGAAAUGUGGAGAAAGACAUUUAAGUCUACAUUAUUAUAGCAUAGCCUCACAGCUUUUUUGGACUCAAGAAAACGACAACUAUAACAACUGCAAACCUUUCUUUUGUCUUAUUCAUUUCUCACUUUUACCCUCCCACUUUACCAAUCUCCUAUUUUCCUUUUUCUUUUAAAAAAUAAUAUUUUAUGCAAAGUUUAUUGUGCCUUCAUUAUGAAAAGCAGAUGGAUCCAUGAUCGUGAAACAGAAAUAAUUCUCGCACUUAAUUGUUUUUAAUAUAAAGAACGACACUUGAUUUACAUAUUUUGUUUUCACUAAAAAAACAGAUGUAAAAUUAAGAUUUUCCAAUGCAUAAUCUUAUUGGCAGUUAUGAACUUGCCUUCGUUAAUUAAUAUAGGGUAAAUAUUAAUUUAUGUUACAAUGUAUUAAUAUUUUAAUGAAUAUAUUCUAUUAUUAUACUUCAUCUGUCCCGCGAAACUUGAUCACUUUCUUUUCGAUACGAAUUUUAAGAAAUUAAUAGUAAUGUGAUGUCAUAUUUAGUAGUAGUAUGGUGUCAUAUUUAAUGUUAUGUCAUAUUUAAUACUCCAUUCAUCCCUUAAAAUUAUGACCCAAUAGAAGUGACACGAGUUUUAAGAAAAAAUGUGGUAGUUGUGUUUGAGUGAAGGUUGAAUCUCAUAUCUUUUUGUAAAUAAUGAGAGAGAAAGUUUGUUGGAUCAUUUCCAAAUAAGGAAAGAUCACAAUUUUUAAGGACAUCCUUAUAUGAUAAUAAGGUCACAAUUUUUAGAGACAGAGUGAAUAGUAGUGUUAAUGUGGUGUCAUAUAAGUGUUACUCUCCUCGUUUUUUAUUAAGUGUCCGUAGUCAUCAAAAUACACAUACCAAUAAAAUAACACAUUUACAUCUGUAACCUUAUUAAUUAUUAUAAUAAAUGUAUAUGUAUAACUAAUUAUUCUAUUCAAACAAAUAUUAAAUAAGGGUACAAUAGGAAGAAUGUCAUAAUUAUACUUUCAAAUUUUGAAAUAGGACACUUAUUAGAGAGCAAGAAAAAUAUUAAAAUAGACACUUAAUAAAAAAUAGAGAGAGUAACUCAUAGUGAAAAUAAUGUGAUGUCAUAUUUAAUAGUAGUAUAGUGUAAAAAUAAUUAUUUAACAAUAAAAUAAAUCAAGUUAAAUAAGACAAUUUUAAAAAAAUAUAAAUAAAAUCAAAUAAGACGGGAAGAAUAUAUAUUUUUACGCUCAUCUGAAGAUGAGAUUAUGAUCCAUGACAUCCAAUCAGACUAUUGCGGGCAUUCACGAAAGACUUCUACCAAACCCGGUAAACUUACUGCUUACACUUUAGGCACUAUCCUCUAAUAUAAUGUUACACGAUUAUUCUACCUUAAUAUUUUAUACAUUUAAUAAUUUAAAUGAACUUUUUUUAUAGAAUAAUAAGAGCAUCCACAUCGGUUGGCUCAUCCGGCCGUCUCGGGUCGGUUUGUCGGAUGAGUCGAUUGAUGCAGGGCUGCGACGACUCAAGGCCGACUCAUCCAUCUAAAUGGAAGGCGCGUGCAUUGCACAUGCCGUAUUAAAAAAAUAAAAAUUAUGAUUUUAAAUGUUCAACGGCUCUUUUGCUGAUUUUUCAUAUAUAUUUUUUAAUUUUCUUUCACUUUAAACAACUAUUUGACCGUUUAAAUUUUUUUUUCUCCAAUUGCCUUGACGUUUUUAUUUAUUAUUAUUUAAAUUUCAUCUAUAUAAACUCCCUCAAUCAUCUUCCAAACCAUCAUCCCACAAUUUCAAUUCUCUUCAUCCUUCAUCUUAUUUUCCAUCUCUCAAAUUCUUCCACUUAUCAAAACGGAUCCCAACGACCCAAAUGCUCCCGAUUAUUUUUUGUCAAAUUGGACCGAUGAUCUUUCCGAAAACUACCAUCCAAACUUAUCGGUGUUCAACUUAGGGGACGUGCCCCAAAUGGCUGAGGAGGCGGCGGCGGCGGGCGCAACACCGGCGGCCCAAAGCGAGGCGGGGCGGGAACUGGGGCAAAGGUGAUGCCUUGAAGGAGGCCAAGAAGGAGGCCAAAAAGGUUGUCAUUCUUACACCCUCGAGGAGACAGACCUCAUUGCACGAAUUUGGGUAGAAGAGACGAACGAUGCCAUCUGUAGUGUCGAUCAAAAAGGCAAGCAUUAUUGGAGUAGCAUCAUCGAGCGAGUGAACGCCAUCUUGGGUAUUGACAUCAACCUCCACCAAAUCAAAUCUCACUAGGCCCGUGUGAGUUAUGAGGUCAAGCUUUAGGAGGCGAUUUGGGUCGAGACCAACGCAAAGUGGCCAUCUUGGCACUCCGACAACAUGAAUCGGGAGAAGGCCCAAACAAUCUAAGCCUUGCGUAGCAAAGGCGUUGCAUUCAAAUGAUGGAAUGCGUGGAGGAUCCUUCGGAUGAACCAGAAGUUCAAGAGCUUGUACCUUGAGGGAGACGUGCAUUUCUUCAAGAGGACAAAGACGAGUGAGAGCGGCGACUUCACCACCUCAGCCACGGACGAGGAAAUCUCAUCUUCCCGGCCAAUGGGAAACAAAGCGGCGAAGGCGGCGACGAGAGCGGCGAAGGGGAACAGAAAGGUGAAGGGCUCAGUGUAUCAGGGCUCGAAGGCUCUACUUGAAUGUAAAGUGUACAUGCAAAAUAUAAACACCAAACUCGACAGAAUGAUUGAGGAGUGUGAGACGAAUAAUCGCAUUAAGAGAGAGAUCCACGGCGAUCGUAUCUUAUUCUUGAAAAUUAGCUAGUUUUAAAUUUAUGUAAUUUUUAAUUAUGUCUUUUUUUUAGUUUAUGUAAUUUUUAGGAUUUUUAUAUUAAUGCAAUUUUAAUUUCAAGUAAUUAUAUUAUUUAAGUUGGUGCAAUUUAAAUUAAAUGAAAAAUCUAAAAAUCAAAACAAAUGGAUAUGAGUCAUUUGGAUGAGUCUCCCCGCUGCAAUUUAAAUUAAAGAAAAAUAUAAAAAUCAAAAUUAAUGUAUUUGAUUUAAUUUUUGCCUUCUAAAACCUCCAAACUUCUAAAUAUUCCUCAUCAUCAGAAGUGAGACCAACAUCAGGUGAAAUUCUGACUGCCAACUAAGCUCUAAUUUCGUCGAAAGUCAAACUUAGGUGAAAAUUGCAACACAAAUAUAAAUUCAUGUAUUUUUUUGGUUUAAUUGAAAUUUCAGGUGAAAAUUAUAACUUUUUCCAAAGUUCGUGUAUCUUUUGGCCAUAACAAAAUAAACUACUUCCUUCGUCUCUGAUAUAUAGGCUGAUUGAAAUUUACACAAAGAUUAAGAAAAAUCAUUGAAAAUAGAAAUAUACAAAUAAACUUGUGUUAGUAGGCAAAAAUACCCUAUUCCUUAAGUUGUAUAUGAAAAAUACCCUACUAUAUAAACUUAAGCAUUUUAUGCCCAAAUUAUGUGAAGAAUCUAUUUUACCAUUUGAUAUUGAUGAGCUUGCUUGAUUUUUUGUGAAAGUCUUACACAUUUGACCGAUUUGACAGCCAUCAGUCAUAAGUCAACUAUUUGACAGCUAUCAGUCAAAAACUCAUCUGACCGCCCGGUGACAUGAUCUGAUCGCCCGGGCGGUCAGAUGAUCUAGCCAUCCACCGGUCAGAUGAGUUCUUGAUUGAUGGCUGUCAACUUGUUGACUUUUAUGACUGAUAGCUGUCAAAUCGAUCAAAUGUGUAAGACUUUAACCAAAAAUCAAGCAAACUUAUCAACAUCAAAUGAUAUUUAAAGAAUAGGGCAUAUGAUGCUUAUGUGUAUAAAAGAGGCCAUUUUUCAUAUAUAACUUACGAAUAGAGUAUUUUUAAUUUUCACUCAAUAAACUUCGUAAUAUGCCCAUAUUUAUUAUUUAAUGAAGAAUUGAAGUUGGAGUAAAUUAAAGAAUUAAAUAGGGAUAUGAUAGAAAAUAAGUGAAAAGACAUUAGUACUUUUUAUGAAAACAAGUCUAUAUAUUUAGUACAUCCAUAAAAAAAACAAGCUUAUACAUAUGGGACGAAGGGAGUAUUAAACACAACGAAUAAUAAUAAUAAUAAUAAUAAUAAUAAUAAUAAUAAUAAUAAUAAUAAUAAUAUGAUUCCAUAAAUAAGAUAUAAACACAAAGAGUUAAUUAAGAGGAAAUUUUAAAUGAAUUAGAUUUGUUAAUUUAAUGCGUUGACCCAAAUGGCUUUGUUUAUUAAUUAGUCUUUUCAGGUUGCAACGCACCCUGACGGCCUGACCUAAAUUCGACGAAGCUCAAUUUAAAUUCAUUUAUAAUGAGUAGGUUUUUCUUGCAUAAGAAAUUACAACCUUUGUGUCUCCCACACUCUGCAUAGGACUUCAUUAAAUGCCACAUGUAAAUAUCUGUUUAUUGGUAUGCAGCAUUCAUUGUAUUUAGUGCACUAUAACGUACAAUUUUUUUUAUUUAUUUUUAUUUUUUAUAUCUUGUAAGUGCAAUAUAUUAACAAAUACUUCAUUUUUUAUUAAUCGUCGUUUAACUAUAAAUCUAGUACUCCCUCUGUCCACGAAAAAGUGCCCUACUUACCCCCUUUUUUUUGUCCACGAAAAAGUGCCAUGUUUACCUUUUUGUACAUUUAUACCCUUUACUUUUCAAUUAAUUUACAACUUAUGUCAUUAAUAAAUCCACACUUUUAUUUAAUCUAUGCAAUUAACCCACACAAUUAACUCACUAAUUAAAACUACGAAACCAACUCCCCCACGCCUAAUCAAUCUCAUUUAUUUAUUUAUUUUCUUAAUUUUCAGUUUAUUUAUUUAUUUAUUUUCUGAAUUUCAAGUUUAUUUAUUUAUUUAUUUUUGAAUUUUUAGUUUAUUUAUUUCCAGUUAUUUAUUUAUUUUCCAGUUUAUUUUCAAGUUUAGUUGACAAUUUAUUUUUGAAUUUUCAGUUUAUUUAUUUUUCAGUUUAUUUAUUUAUUUAUUUAUUUCCAGUUCAUUUAUUUUCUGAAUUUUCAGUUUAUUUAUUUUUGAAUUUUUAGUUUAUUUAUUUUCUGAAAAUUUAUUUUCCAGUUUUCAGUUUAUUUAUUUUUGAAUUUUUAGUUUAUUUAUUUUAUGAAAAAUUUAUUUUCCAAGUUUUAGUUUAUUUAUUUUUCUUUUUUCAGUUUAUUUAUUUAUUUAUUUUCGAAUUUUCAAUUUAUUUAUUUUUUGAAUUUUGAGUUUAUUUUUGAAUUUUCAAUUUAUUUAUUUUCUGAAAAAAUUUAUUUUCUAGUUUUCAUUUUAUUUAAGUAAAGAGUAAAAAGAAAAUAACUAUUGAAAGAUUAGUAAAAAUAAUCAAAAUGCAUUAACCCUACCUUUUAGUCUUUUACACCAUUUUUACACAACUUUUUUUAGCUUUCUUAGUUUUCAUGCCGAUUAUCAAAUGGAUAGUUGAUUGGUGGAGUGAGAGAGUAAUAGAUAGAUAGAUUAGUCAAUGUGGUGGCUAUUGUCAGUUUGUGUGGAAUGAGAAUAAACAAGAGAGAUGGAUAAGUUGAAUCUUAAAAUACAAUGUUUUAUUAAAUGAAACGUUGAAUAUAGUUAAAUUUGGUAAAUUUUUGUUGUAUUUUAUUAGUUCUCAUAUUAAGAACCCAAUUCUCGCAUCAUUUAUCCAUCAAAGUCUUCUACUUCAUCUUUUUUUGUGACUAAAUAGGAUCACCAAGAAAAUGGCGCCUUUCUGUUUCACUGCAAUCCUCUGCUCUUUGGUUUACUCCUUGGCGUUUCUCAAAUUAACCUCUGGAGCAGGUCAUUCACUUUUCAACAACCAAACCCUUGCUAUUGGCCACACUUUGGUUUCUGAGACCCAAGUUUUUGAGCUCGGGUUUUUCCGCCCUGGAAAAUCAGCGAAUUUGUUCUUAGGGAUAUGGUACAAAGCCAUACCUGAUACAGUAGUUUGGGUUGCAAACAGAAACAAUCCCAUCACUGAUUCACAAGGAGUCUUCUUCGCCGUUGCUGGAAACGGCAGUCUCCUUAUAAGCAGAGAUGGAAGCAUUAUCUGGUCGGCGAAUCCAUCGACGGCGGCAUCGCGUCCAGCUGUACGCCUCCUAGAAACUGGAAACCUAGUUGUUGUGGACGAGGCGACGGAGGAAGGCUUCUACUUAUGGCAGAGUUUUGAUUUCCCCACUGACACGUGGCUAUCAGGGAUGAAGAUGGUAGAUGACCUUGAUGCCGGCGUUAGCACGAACUUGACAUCAUGGAGAAAUUGGGAUGAUCCUUCGCCCGGAGAUUUCUUCGCGAAGAUCGAGAGCCAUGCCAUGGGUGAGAUGGUGAUGUACAGAGGCACAAGGAAGAGAUUUCGAACUGGAAAGUGGAAUGGCAUUUAUUUCAACGGUAUGCCUCGCUUCCGCAGUACUGUCCCCGCAACUGAAUUGAUCUUCAAAGAAGAGCGGUUGAUAUCUAUCAAAAUGCCUUAUCAAAGCUCAAUUAUCGUACGAGCAACAUUAGACGUAUCUGGCUCAAUCCUCCACUAUAUUAUGAAUCCAGGGAAGGAUAGGUGGAAUCCUGUGUACCCGUUUCCACGAGACGAAUGCGACGAGUAUGCUUACUGCGGUCCCAACGCCAUCUGCGCGGUUGAGAAGGCACAGAGAUGCGACUGUUUCAAAGGAUUUUCCCCCAAGUUUAGGAAGGAAUGGGAGCUUCAAGACUGGUCUAAUGGAUGUGGUAGAGUUAGGGCGUUGAAUUGCGAGAGUGGAGAUGGCUUUGUAGAGGUUAGAGGGGUGAAGUAUCCUGAUAUGCUGAGAUACUGGUUGAAUACUAGCAUGAGCCUUGAGCAGUGCAAAGCUGAGUGCUUGAAAAACUGUAGCUGCACCGCCUAUGCUCAUCCAUACAUAAGUAAUGGAGGCAGAGGCUGCUUGAUGUGGUAUGGGGAUCUCCUUGAUGCCAGAGAGCUUCCUGCAACACAUGUUCUGCAUAAAAUCUAUAUUCGCCUACCACUUUCAGAACUAGGUAACUGUUUCUAUCACCCUUCUACAUAUUCUCUAGCUUACAUUUUCUCAGGUAAACAAGAGAGUGUUAAAUCUGCUACCCUUUAUUUAUAUGGAAGAAAUUUGUAUGAAUAUGAACAAGUGUGCAUUUAUCUAUACGACCUUCUCACCCUUGUCUAGUGGCUAGCCCCCUUUUUCUCCAACAGCAGGAAACCCAAAAAACAUAAUAGAAGGCCUCAAUAUUCACUGUUCUUGGUGAUUUUGCAUGUAGAUUUUAACUCCAAUUUGGAGACGAAGAAAGCGCCAACAAAUUUAAUACUAAUAUCAAUUGCUACUGGAGUAAUUGUCUCGAGUUUUAUCAAUGGAGGUUUACUUAUACUGACAAGAAGGAAUAAGCGAGGUAACAACAAUGACUUGUGUAGUGGAUUACUCUUGAAAAUUCUGUUAUAAUGUUCAGAUUACGCAGUCAACCAGACCCUGAGGCAUUAGUUCUUUUGUCUUUUCACGCUUCAUAGCACUAAAGAGGAAUAACGAGGAUAUAGAAUUGCCUUUGAUCAAAAUGGCAGCUAUUCUAGAAGCAACAAACAAUUUCUCCAAAGAGAACAUGCUAGGAGUAGGAGGUUUUGGUCCUGUUUAUAAGGUAACUAACCUUGACACAUUCUUCAACUUGAGCAUUGCCUCUACUUUAGCAGACAUACUUACUCCUAUAGUAAGAUGCAUAGCAGGGCAAUCUGUCAGAAGGAGAAGAAGUCGCAGUCAAAAGAUUGUCAAAAACUUCUGGGCAGGGACUUCAAGAGUUCAAGAAUGAAGUCGUGUUGAUUGCUAAGCUUCAACAUAGAAACCUCGUCAGGCUUCUUCGAUGUUGCAUUGAAGAAGAGGAAAUGAUGCUAAUAUAUGAAUACUUACAGAAUAAGAGCUUGGAUAAUUUUGUUUUUGGUACUGGCCAAAUAUAUCCCUUAUCCUUUUGUUUGUUUAAAUUCAGCAAAUUUAUCCUACCAUAUAGUUGACGUGUCAGAUGUUGAUACUCAUAAAAUACUCGAUCAUGUGCAGAUCAAGAUCGAAGGAAACUUUUGACAUGGCCUAAGCGCUUUGACAUUAUCAUGGGAAUCGCAAAGGGACUGCUUUAUCUCCACCAUGAUUCCAGGCUCAAGAUUAUCCACCGGGAUCUCAAAACAAGUAACAUUUUACUAGAUGCAAGUUUAAAUCCAAAAAUAUCAGACUUUGGCUUAGCAAGAACAUUUGAAGAGGAUCAAUCUCUAUCUAGAACUAAGAGAGUUGUUGGAACAUAGUAUGUUUUCUUUCAUCUCAUCAAAACACACUGCUAUUUUCCAUGGUGGCCUAAAUAAUGAGUCAUAUUUUUAUGCAGCGGCUAUAUGGCUCCGGAAUAUGCAUUUCAUGGGAAAUUCUCAGUGAAGUCUGAUAUCUAUAGUCUUGGAGUAGUACUACUAGAGAUAAUAAGUGGGAAAAGGAACAGAGAAUUUAAGCACAACGAUGAUCGUCACAGCCUCCUAGGCCAUGUACUCCUCUUGGCUACAUAUUUGUUAGCUAUAUUGGUUGAUAAUUGUGAUAUGAAAAAGUGUUUUUCAGUAUAAACUGAGAAAAAUCUGAUGAACUUAUCCGGUGGCAAUUGGUGCAGGCAUGGCUGCUAUGGAAAGAGAAGAGGAUUAUGGAAAUGAUGGACGAUUGUUUGAAGGAAACAUGUGUUGAAUCCCAAGUGAAGAGAUGCAUACAUGUGGGGUUAUUAUGUGUUCAAAAUUUAGCAGAGGAUAGACCGAUCAUGCCAUCGGUGGUUUUAAUGUUAGCAACUGAUGGAGCAAUCUUGCCUGAACCUAAUGAGCCUGGAUAUUUCAUUGAAGGAAGUCGAAGUUGUAAAUCACCUAGUAUCAAGUCCGAGGAUGGAACGAUUAGCAUUACCGACUUGGAGGGCAGAUGAGGAGAUUGCUGCAAAUGCAUUUGAACUCCUAGACCAGUCACCGGGUUGAUUCCAACUGGAACUAGUACAUUGAGGCAUUGUGUUCAAAAUGAGAAUCAAUAUUGGAGAUGUAAGAUAUAUGCUUCUUCACGAGUACAACUGUAGAAAUAUUGCCACAUUAUUUUCUGGUUUGAAUGAGAAAAUUGAAAAUAUUGAAGAUCGAGAAAGAUGAGAAGCUAUGUGAGUUUCUUGACUACUAUGUCAAUACUUUGAGCAUCAUCUCCAACUAUCCUUAUUUCCACAUGCAACUUGUUUUGUAUGGACAACUGAGUUUUAGUUAGUAAUAAAUUACUACUUACAUGGCUGAGAAUAUGAGGAGACAACAAGACUUCACAUUUUUCAUCGAAUCAAAUUAUAUAUAUGGGCACUGAAAUAUGCUCAUAAAGUUUGGUACACUCCAAUCAUGGUUAAAAUUAAAUUCGGAAAAGCAACCUCAUGUGAAGUAACAAUAUCUAUCAACAAAUUCCUUUACAAUUGUUCCAACUCCUAUCUAAAACUCACAGCUAUAAAUCUCCUCCAUCAUCUAAUUCAAAAUUUCUUGCUAAGCCCAAGUCUGAAAUUGUUGGGUUUAAUUCCGGUCUAGUAAAAUAUUGCUCAACUACUGCCUAUAAUCUUUAAUCUUGAAUCAUGAUGGAGAUAUAGCAUUAGCAGCCCCCUUGAAGUUCCCAUGAUGAUGUGAAAAGUGUCCUUCGCUGCUGAUCUACACAUGAUCAAGUAUGUGAAUAUAUAUCAAAAUAUUUGGUUGGAUAAAAUAGUAAAAAGGAUUAAUGAAAUGCACCAAAGACAAAAUAAUCCAGGCUUUUAUUCAGCAGCCUUUUCUCUUCUCUUUCGUCUUGCAACUAAAAUAAUACCUACAUCGAUGAAAGCCUAAAACAACAACUCCAGAAGCAAUUGAUAUCAUAAUUGAUUUCACACGCCCUUUCUUCCCCUCCUCCAAACUGGUGCUUCAAGCUUAGAGCAAAACUCACUAGGAACUAGACAAGCUUGGAGAAUGUCAUCUGAUUCGUCAUUUGCAGUAGAUUUCAUACUCUCUUUCGAGGAAAUAUAUAAGUCUAUUGCAAUAGUUCAUGCACAUGUAUAUAUCACUUCCUUGUUGAAUCAUAAGCAACCUCAACAUAUUCAAAUUAACACACACAUUAUGCCUAAAUCACAAGUUCCUAUAGCCUAUCUAUGACAUGUAUGCAUUUCUGUUUAGUACUCAUGUUUAAUUUGACAUAAUGUAAGCUGGUUUAAAACAAACUUAUGCAGUUCCAAAAAAUAUUAUGAAGAGAAAGAAAAAAUAGAGAAAAAUAAACGGUGGAGAGACAUAAAAGGAGAAAUAUAGAGAAAGAUGAGUUAAAUUGUACUCCCAUAGUCCACAAAAUAGAGUCCAUAUAUACUUACCCCUCCCCCCCCCCUUUUUUGAGGGGAAAGACAAAUUAUAUUAAAUCAUGACAAACAAUAUCUAGAAGACAUGACGAAAAGUCUGACUUCCAGAUCAUUACAUCAGAAGACCUUGCGGCAAAAUUCACAAAACUAUGAGUUGUUCCAUUGGCCUCACGCCUAACAUGGCGAAAUCUAAAACACAAUACUCCUUGGCAUGAACAAAAGCCUCAUAGCUGGUUUCCGGCGUUCUUGGCUUAUAGGCUGGCUCUUGCUGCGUCUGGCGUUUCUCUGCUUCAGCUUCUCUGGCUGUUGGUUUCGCUGUGGUUUUUGUUCUUCUUGUCUGGGUUUUCUGUUUCGGGGUCUGGGGCUGGUUUUCUAGGGGCGAUGGUUCGGCCGGAGCCUCUGAGGCUUACCCUUCCGCCGCCGCCCGUCUUGUUCUUUGUUGUUUUUCGUUUUGUUUUUGUUCGUUCGUUUGAGUUCUCUCUUCUGAGGCUCUUCCCUUAGUUUGCGCAUGUGCUCUCAAGGGUUUCGAAUUUUCUUUUUUCAAUAAAAUUUCUAUUUCAGCAGAACAAAAGCAUCAUAUAAAUCAUCACAGAACGAAUCUGUUCCUCUGGUCGAGUCCGAAACAACAUGAAUAGCCAACAAUGAGUCAUAAUAAGUAAACAAAGGCAAGAAAUCAUGUUUCAUGCACAAUCCAAUAUCCAAUAAAAGUGCAUGAAGUUCUCCCAUAAGUGUCGUUUUCGUACGACCCACACGCCGAGCCACCGCCGCUUUCACAGAUACCAGCCAAUCUCUAACAAUAAAGCCCAGACCGACAAAUAGUCUCAUUUGACUUUUGAUCAAUCACAUUAUACUUUUUCUCCUAUAUUUACUAUAAAUUAUACUUUUAUUUCAUUUUUUUAACUAAUAAUGUACUUUUAUUCUUUUUUUUUUGUACUAAUACUACCCAUACAAAUUGUACAUUUAUUCUACUUACAACAACUUUAUUAAAUUUUGGGCUCUAUUUCAUGGACAGAGGAAUAUAAAUUUGAGUGGAUUUUGAAAAUAAAAAUUUUGGAAUAGUAAAUUUAAAAAUUGGCCACGAAAAAAAAAACAAAUUGGUCACACUUACCUUUUUACCCUUGCAUAUAAAUUUUUUUAAAUUAUCCGCAAAUUCACAACCAGUCGAAUUCACACUUAGCAUUAAUUUUAAUUGUGCAUUCAAAUUUUAGAACUCGAAUUCACAACUGAAUAACUAGUGUUGGUUUUGAAUGCAAGUUUUAAAGUUUGAAUUCACAACUAAAAAUUGUGUAAGUCGUGAAUUCAAGUUUUAAAGUUUGAAUUCACAACUAGAAAUAUUGUUAGUCGUAAAUGUUAGGUCCGGAGGGUCUCGAAUAGGUGUAUGGGGGGGGGGGAAAUAAACCUAUAGGCUAUUUUUGAUUUUGAAUCGAAACUUUAAACACAAACUUUGACUCCUAUUUUACGAAACGAGUUUUGACUGAACCGGAGUUGAUGACUGAUACUGAACACUCUUCAGUAAGGAGUGAUCAGUUAAGUUCAGAGUCCUUAACUGAUCCACUUAAGGCUUCAGUCGAGUUUGUUGAACAAAGAUGUUAUGAGUCCUACUGACUAUCAGGGAUAGGUCAGUCAGACUGAUAACACACGCAGCGGAAAUCUUUUGUUUCGAAAUAGCCUUUGGGUUGAGUACGAUGUUAGUCUUUAGGUUUCUCUAUGCUUUAGUCAGUUUUCAGUUUAUCAAAGUAACAGCACAAGUAAGAAUGUAAAUACUGAAAAUAGUAAAGAACACAGAGAUUUUUACGUGGUUCGGAAAACACUUCCUACAUUCACGGUCGGUUGAUCAGACAAUCCACUCCGCAAGUGCUUAACUGGUGCACUGCAAACCGAAUCGUGUGCUUGUCGGGUGCACACAACCGUACCACUGAAGAUUCCACUCUUCAGUACCAACACUUCACUCGCGUUGGAUUUCUCACUCCUAACACAACCCGCGCUAGGAUCUCACGAAGUCAGAGUACCUUCCUGAACUCCUCUACCACUCAAACACUCGAUUCUAUCUCUUGAAAGGAGGUUUGAAAACUUGCCAACUAUACUUCAAAGAACAAGUUCUUUGGAGCAAGUUUGACCUAGGCUUCUGGGUAAACAGAGGUUUGCCUAAGGUCUAAGAGAAUGUGUGUAAUAUUCAACAGUGACUGAUUUUUGGCUUUGGAAUUCUCUUCUUCGAUUCAAGCUUUGGGGAGGUUAAGCUUUUGGCUGAGAAACUAUUUUGGCAGAGUUUCAGCUUAUGUCGUUGAAUCGGUAAAGAUUGAAGUGAUCCUCGAGCACUACUUAUAGGAGAGAUCUUGAAUAGAUCCGUUGGCGGAGAACGUCUUCAAGAUUUCUUCCGUUGGAGAGCUUUUUGAAUUUGGGCUGAGGCUUCAAUCUUCGAGGUUCCUUGUUUGGUGCUCCAAUUUUUUAUGGUAAAGAAUUAAUGUGUUAUUACUACCCACAAAAUUCAAGUCAUUUCGGAAUGUUACUAUUUUUCAAAAAUCAAACUCCGGUUGCACGAAAUGCCGAAUAUGGUAGACUGUGGGAAACGGUCAUAUCUCUUAAACCACUUGGAUUUUUCAACCUACUUUUUUUUAAUGAAAUAGACUAAAGAGUUUCAAUAGUAUGAGUCUCGAACCCAGGAGGUUCCGAGGAGAAACAGUUUAUUCUCUUAAGUUAAGCAGUGCAGAAAGAGUGAAUUGAAUAAGAUUUUGAUUAUGAGAUGAGAUAUGAAUUAAAGAUGCCUAUAUGUGGCUUAGUGAAGAUGAAUUGAGUUAUACAUGAAAAAUUAAAUAAAAUGGCAUAACUUGUUUAUGUGAGUUAAUUUUUGAAUAAUUGGUUUAAGAAUGAUUUAAAAAAUAAAUUUUUGGGAAUUUCCCCGACUAAAAAUAUUUCAUUUUUGACAGAGCUUAGACCUAAAUUAGGUGAUAACUUGAGAAUAGAAUAGUGAUUUCUUAGAAAGUGUUUACGAUAUGAGAUCGAGAUAGACGGAGUGUAGUGAUGAGGAGAUGACUUAUGGAUUGUUUAUCUAUGAGUUGUUCCUUGACAGAGCUUAGACCUAAAUUAGGUGAUAAGUUGAGAAUAGAAUAGUGAUUACUUAGAAAGUGUUUACGAUAUGAGAUCGAGAUAGACGGAGUGUAGUGAUGAGGAGAUGAAAUAGUACUAAGAUAGGAAUGGUAUUCUUAGUCAGGAAGUUUCUGACUAAUCUCUUUUAUUCUUAUCAUGAACUACUCCGAUGUGAUGGUAUCUGAAGAUACGAGCAGAGGACGGAAGUGAGUCCACCCCGAACGCUACGAGAGUAAGCUAGGACAUCAGGUGGGCAUUAUUUUUACUAUACGUAUAUAGAGAUCCCCUACGUAUCGUAGGCCUCUUAUACGAAAUGAAGUAAAUGACAUGAGUUAACUACUCCCUCCGUCCGCCAAAAUUAUGUAAAAUUGCUUGGGCACGAGAUUUAAUAAAAUUAGUGAUGAUUUUGAUGUAGUGGAGAAAGGGUCCCACCACUUUAUGAAAUGUGUGGUUGAGAUUGAAUUUUGAGUGGAUUUUUUGUAAAUAAAGAGUGUUAGUAAGGAUAAAAUAUUAAAGAGGAUGGUGGGACCAUUUCCAUAAAAGGAAAGUGACAUAAUCUUGGCGGACGCCAAAUAUAGUAAUUUUUACAUAAUCUUGGCGGACGGAGGGAGUAUUAAAUUUCAGUUUGAUGAAAAUUAUUACUGAUGAUGAUGUCUAUGAGUUUGAUAAAUAAUUUGAGAUUUAUUGAUGUUGAACUAAUUGACUUACCGAGUUUUGAUGACGACGAGCCUGUAUGUCACCCUCUACUGAUGGGACGAAUUCGGGUCCUGCGACAAGCGGGAUUGUGUACACAGAGGUGACCGUGAGCCGUCUUUCGGGUCAGCCGGUCAGAGGUGAUUGAGAGCUGUCCUUCGGGUCGGCCGGUCACGGUACUUGAGAAGGAGGCCUACUUCUCAAUACCUUUAAUGAUGAUGAUUUGUAGAUGUGGUACAUACAUAACGAGAACUUUGACCGGUCAUUUAUUUAUGAUGCUUAUGAUUGUUAACUGCUUACACAGGUUGUUUUGAGUAAAAUCUCUGCGUAUUGCUUAUGUGGCAAGUUCAAUCUAUAGCUCUAAGAGCUAGUUUUCAUUGAUUUUCGGCUUAUGUCCACUGAGUAUUCUGUACUCAGCCCUGCAUGUAUUUCUAAACGUGCAGGAUAAGCGAGGAGGGAGAUUGGACUGGUGCUGCCAGGAAUUUUAUUUCAGAUAAUCUUCAUUAUACCGUAAUUAUAUUCCUUGCGGUAACAUCAGGAUGUUGAAGUUUAUUUUGAACUUAAUCAAGAAAUUUACUCUUUGCUAUAUGUCUUCAUACAUAUAGUCUGUUCGCAUUUUGCUGCGAUACUCUAUAUAUCCCGAGUCAUUGUGAGUAAUUAGCUAUGUCUACUUUGGAAAGGUUGACAAGAAUCUCGAUGAUUUAAAAGUUAUAAAGCCAAUAAUAUUUUUAUUGAUGAUGAUGUCAUCUUUCUUGAUUUAUCACGUUCAAUGAUUGCUUCCGCUUGACGUUCAAUCUAGUUUUCUCUUGUUACCUUAUUAAUUUAUUUAGUCGUAUCGAUACUCGGUCCACGCUAUCACUGGCUAGGCGUCGGGCUGCGACAAAAGCGCAGAAUAUGCUCUAAUGUGCCACCAAACACCCGCAAAAAUCAACCGAAAGUGAGGUAAACAACCCCCCCCCCACACUUGAUCCUUUGCUUGUCCUCAAGCAAAGUCACACACCAAAUGAUAGUUGACAAGAAAACUUCCUCACUAUUCACAACUCAAACCAAUCUAAGUCUCUUAGCCAUUUACAUUCCUCACAAGAUGUUCAUUGAAGAUUUUAAGAAGCAACAACCACAUGAUACAAUUCAAUCCGAUCAAACUCGAUUCUCCGCUAGAGGUGAAUUUCCUAAUGUGAUUGCCUUUUGAUGAGGGAUAAGGUCCUCAUCAGCGCAGCACAUGACCCGUACUCCAUAUGUUACCAAUAUGAAAUAUCUACUGCCUUAAUGAUUAUCGCACAAAAUAGGAAAACCAACAGUGCAAGACUAAGAACGGAGAUCCCAGCGCCCCUUUGAGAGAGCAGCGCAGUCAUCCCACCCCACGAAGGAGCAGCGCAGUCAUCCCACCCCACGAAGGAGCAGCGCAGUCAUCCCAUCCCAUGAAGGAGCAGCACAGUCAUCCCAUCCUAAGAGAGGGCAGCGCAGCACCAGCGCACCUUGGAGAAGGCAGCGCAGGCUUCAACACCUAGAGAUGCCGACACGGGCGAAGAGUUCCCAACUACUUUCUGAAGGAGGCAAAAGCUGCAAGGCCGUUGGAGCAAGGACAAUCACCAGUGACAACAACGCCAAGGACGUACCGAGCACGUGCCAUGAAGGAAAAGACAAUCUUACCCUCUCCUCUUC